rnacentral:lncRNA from 1 species
AGGAUAUACAAGACAGGAAAACAAAUAGAUUGCAAGCUUUUUGAAUCAAGGUAAGUUAAGGGAGAGUUCAAUCUUGAUAGGAUAGUUCAAUCAUGUUAGAAUAGUGAGGUAUACUAAAAAAUUGUGUGGCAUAGAGUGAACACCACAUCCACAUUGUAAUCAUCAAUUUGUUUUUCAUAGCACAAAAUCUUGCUUGACAUUAAGACUGAAUUAUUACAGCCAUUCACUUCAAAUGAGUCUUUUAUUUUGAAAUACAAAAUAUCUACAUUUAUGGAAGUUUUCCUUUUUUAAAAAAAUUGUAAAUGUACAGCAUGCCUUUAUUUUAUUAGUUUAUUUUUAUGUGGUGCUAAAAAUUGAACCCAGGGCCUCACACAUUCUAGGCAAGUGCUCUGCCACUGAGCUACAGCCCCAGCCCAAAGUUUUCUUUUUUUUUCUCUUUUGGUUACAUGGAUAGAUUUUCUACUUUUGAAAAUUGUUAUGGUUUAGAUAAAGGGUCUCCCCAAAGCUUAUGUGUGAGACAAUACAAGAGGAUUAGAGGUAAAAUGAUUGGGUUGUGAAAGCCUUAAUUUAAUCAGUGAAUUAAUCCCAUGAUAAGGAUUAACUGAGUGGUAACUGAAGCCAGGUAGGGUGUGGCUAGGUGGGUCACAGGGGCCAUGCUUUUAGGUUAUAUAUUUGGUAUCUUGCAAGUGAAGUCUCUCUCUUCUUCUUGGUGCCAUGUUGCCAGCUACAUUCCUCUGCCACACUCUUCUGCCAAGAUGUCUUAUCUCACCUAAUCCCCAAGGAAUGGAGUUAGCCAUGUAAGGACUGAGACCUCUGAAACUGUGAGUCACCAAAUAAACUUUUUCUUCUCUAAUUGUUCUUGUCAGGUUUUUUGGUCACAGCAGCAAAAAUGCUGACUGAACCAGAAUAGCACUCCCUUGUUUAAAACCACAUCUCUCUCCUUUAUACCUCACUUAUACUUGUUGUUAUACACAUUUUAGAAGGAAAGUGUGGUGAAAACUAUGGGAGGGUACUAAAAAUAAUCUCGAACCAGAAUAGCACUCCCUUGUUUAAAACCACAUCUUUCUCCUUUAUACCUCACUUAUACUUGUUGUUAUACACAUUUUAGAAGGAAAGUGUGGUGAAAACUAUGGGAGGGUACUAAAAAUAAUCUCAGAUCGUCUUUUGUUUAUCUUAUUAAUAAUAAGCCAUGGAUUUUAAGAACUUUUGUAUAUAACUUUCAAGUGAAGCUUCAUAUGAAUCUGACAUGUAUAAAACGACUGAUUCUAGUGUUUUCCACACAACCUUCCUACAUGUAGAUAUGUUUCUGUUUCAGAAUUUUUUGUGGGUGAAUACUUUAAUUAGUGAUUUUAUUCUUGGUUUUGGUAAGACUUUCUAUUUUUAAAGUGUAUACAGUGUGGGAAUAAGAUAGUUGAAUUAAAAUUAAAUAGUUUUUAAAUAUGCUUAAUAAGAAAACAUUAACCAAAAAUGUAUUUAAGAUCCCAUAUAAAGGAAGACUUAUUGUAUAAGUAAGAUGCUAGUCACAUUAAAAAGGAAAGGCUUCAGGGAUCCAUAUAAUAUUGACUUAAUGUAUUUUUCCAUGAUUGGUGGUUAACAAAUAAAGCCAUCUUACUUGUGUGCUUACUAUGUGCCUGGACUUGUGCUAAAUAUAUGUAUGUGUUAUAUGGAGUCUAUUUCCAUUUUUCACUUCAUGAUAGGAAAGUGAGGUUUAGUAAACUUAAAUACAUUAACUAUUUUGCAACUAUAUUGAAACAAAUAAACAGUCUCAAAUGGCAAGAUAUAAAUGAUAUUCAUAUUUUUUAAAAUAUGCAUGUUAUUUCUAUUAAAGAAUUAUACUCUCUUACUCCUAAAACUUGAUUGAAGACAUUUGAAUGAGAAUUUAGUAUAUUGAAGCCUCAUAAGAGUAUAAUUGAUAAAUAUGUGACAAUUUUUAUAAUGGAUACCAACAAAUUACAUAAUAUACCCAACUGGUAUGUUAAUGGGAAUUAUGUAUACUGAUUAUGUUGAUGAAAGUUAGUAAAAUGCUGGUGAGCUUUCUGUUUUUUUUUUUCCAAUAAUGACAUGACUGUCAAUAUAACUGUUUAAUUCUUAGGCACAUCAGUUAGGUAUUGCUUGUUUUGUAUUUCAUAGUAGAAUAAUUAAAUGUAUGCCUAUUGUCAUUUAAAUUUAUUUUGUUUUAUUUUCAUAGUCUAUAGACUUACAGCACUAUUGAUAAUAUUUUUAAUAUUAUUUCAUUUUAAGAGAAUGGUAGAUUACUUUAAAAACUCAAUGCCGCAGUCCGGCUGCAGCAAACUAACCGGUGGGUGACGAGCAACUUGUGUACAUUGAUUCAGCAGGAGUGGGAGCCGUUUAUUAUAGGACAGGAGGGGUAUAUAUACAUUCCACACAGCUUAUCUUAAUUAACAUAAACAAGAUACAGCAGUCAACCAAUAAGGAAUCUCCACACUUAAUGGCUCGCGGGCGUUACUUCACAAACCACUCCCUCUGGCAAAAUGCCAGGCGCCAUCUUGAAUUGUUUACGGACUCUAACAACUCAACAAGCAAAAAAUAUCAAUAAGCUAUAGGAGGGUGCCUAUAUUAUUUAGCAAAUACAGGGCUAUUAUGAUUACUUGGGAAAAUCUUGCUUGGGUAAUGAGAAUUUCCAACCAUGGCUUAGGUUUUCAAUAUGAUAUUUAAUAGAACACAAUAUUGCCUCAUUUGUCUUUCUUGGUGGGGGAUAGUUGCUGUUUCUGAGAUUUACAUAAAUGAUAGGCACUUUAAUUCAAGAAAGAAAUAGUAUCUUAAUCUAUCCUCCUUCUGCUUCAAAAUGAAAGAAUUUUGAUUUUAAUUUUAAAUUUGACUUUAAAUAUUUUACUUCUUAGUUGGCUGUCAAUUAUUGCUUUACUUUAUUCAUUUCAUAUGUAAGGAAUAUAGCUUUGCUUUUACAUUUCUUUGUUAUUUUAUUUCCUUUUGUUUCUUAGCAGCAGAAUGAUAAAUGGAUGUUUACUGCACCACAUUGUAUCUGUUAACUUAUCAGCAUUAGCCAUGGAUCCAUUUUCCUUUUCAUCAUGAUAAGCAAUGCUUUGUUUGAUAAGAAAAUAUAUCCCAGAGAAGCAGUGUGAAGUAUUGUGUUUUCUUGUUGAUAUUCUCUGUAGGCAUUGCUUCCAAGGGAAGAAAAUUUGUCUUCUGUUAGCAAAUUGUUAUUCUGCUCAUUACUUGUUCUCAUUAUGUCUUCAUCUUAGCAGUGCACGAUUUCUCUGCACAGUAUGUCUUGCUGUGUUUACGGUGGUUUUAAUAGUGAGAGGCUGGCUUUGGCAUGACAGGUGUAGGUGUCCUGGUAGGUAAAUAAGAAAUCUUCCACAGAACUGAGUGAUGAAUUAGGAAAAAUGACUAUCUGUGCUCAGAUAUGUAGAGAUGGUCGAUUCAUACAUUGUCAUGAUUUAUCUUGUGCUCCUUGAGCACAGUCAGCAUAAGAUGAUCUGGUGAUUGCAUAAGUGAAAUGAAAAACAUGGGGCCUAACUUUAAGUACCUUGCAAUCUAUCUCUAGUCAUAGCUUCUGUAUUUGGAGCUUCUGACUGUGGAAAUGUGGUUAUGUAGUUGCAUAGCUUUGGUAAUUAUUUUAGGUAAUUAUCUCACCUAAGACACAAACAUCUUCACAUACACUCCCAAACUAAAAUAACUAUUGAAUGCUGCACUUAUUACAUAUAUGUAUUUCUGUUCAUCACACAAAAUUAAUAUAUAUUUGACUUGGGUUGUAGCUCAGUGGUAGAGCUCUUACCUAGCAUGUGUGUGGUCCUGAGUUCUAUUCCCCAGCACCAUAUAAAAUAAAUUACAAACAAUAAAAAACAGACUAAUAAAUUGCAUCAUGGCAAAACCCUCACUUUUUUACUUUUCUUGGAUUUUGGUUUUUCUUCAUUUAUGUAGUAUAAUUUGCUUUCAAAUCUUGUCCUAAAAACUGUAUUAGUGAGUCAAUUGCAAAAUUUUUUCCAUAAAAUCCACCUGCUCCUACUCACCUUUUUUUCAGUGUACUUUGAUCACAGAUAUAAUUCCUCCUACACCACUUUAAAUGCACUCUGUUUUACUGAAUAGGAAUUUUUGUUUUAUUUUUUAAGAACAUUCAGGUAUUUUAUGUUCUCAUAACAGGGUUCAUUUUUAUCUUACUUUUCACUUUUUCUUUUUAAGGGGUUGCUCUCUUCCAGACUUAAAAAAAAAUAAGUCCCUAUUCUAUUCAAAUGUGAAUCUAAUUAACUACCAAAUUGACAGGAUGGUUUGAUUGUAGUUUUAUAUUAGGCCAUUAACCAACUAACAGACACUUUGUUUUUGCAGGUUUCAAAGAAAAAGAAAUGUAACCAAAUUUCUUCACAAAGCAAUUAUACUUGUUCCACACAGAACUUACAUAUUAUAAAUAUCCUACAAAAAUUAGACUUUUAACAGUACUGUGACUUGAAAUAGUUUUCUUUUUCUAUGUAUAUAUAGGGGAAAGGCAGAGUGCCAUUUUUUCUGUAAAUGUCUAGGACAGACAAAAUAACCAUUUUUUUUAGAGUUGGAACAAUUUGGGUAGAAAGAAAUAUGAAAGAAAUGUCAUGACAGCACAUCAUUUCCUCUGUGGGAGGAAUUAAUCCUCAUUAAUGAAACUGCAUUCCAAUGUUCUAAGUACUGUGUAUUUGACUGCAUUUGAGAAACAUUUUGUCCCCUUAACAGAAAGCGAUAGAGAGAGUGGGGAUGUGUGGGAGGAGAGAGAGGGAUAGAAGAGAAAUAAUCAUUAGGCUCCUUAAAAGGAUAAGACUAAACUGUACAUCAAUUAUUAUUGCCCAGCAUGAUACUUGUAUUAUAAUCCAGAAUAUAUACCUGUUUAAUAACACAAAUGUUAAAAUCUGAUAGGAAUGUGCAAAAUAACCAAAGUAGAAACUGAAUAUGGAGUUCUAGUCUUCAAUAAUUUUAGGGACUUCAAAUAAAAUAUAUUUUUCCUGUGUUUCUGAAAAUAGGCCCAGAGCAUACAAAAUAUGAACUUGCAUCCAAGAGCUAUUCCUUUUACCUGAAUUCAUGACAUUGAUGUUUUUAAAGUUAAUGCUGAUAUUUUUUUUUCUGCUUCUUACAACAAUCAUGUAAAAUAUGCAACUGAGACAAAGAUCAAGAGAGGGUUAAAUGAGAAUAAUCACCCAGUUUUUUCUCAUUACUGAGAAUUGUCAAAAUGCUGUGAGGGUAUACUUUGUAAUAGAUUGGCAUUUCACAGUUUACUUUGUACACAUCUUAAUCAUUGUGAAUCUAAAAGAGAUAGCUAAUAAAGCAUGGGCUUUUGCAAUGAAUUUUUUUCCCUAGAUGAAAUAAGAUGCAAUCUUUUGUGUGGAAUCUUUCUUUCCAUUGUUCUCACAGGACUAUCUCUCAGGGGGUGUAGUGUUUGUUAGAAAAGAAGGAAGACUUAAUGAAGUUAAAUAAAAAUUAUCUUCACCCAGUUCUACAGUCUAUCUGAACUCAGAAGAUCCCAAAUGGGGCCAAAUUAGCUCAUAUUUCAUGCUGCAGUUCACCUUUAGCCAAAAUAGGUGUAGCCAGCAAAAGGCAUGAAGCACCCCCACAGGAUGGAGUAUCUUAACCCAAAGAGGUUGUCCAGAGCCCAGUGUUUAAAAUUGUCAUUUUGUGAGGUGACCUGGCUGGUUUCAUCCUACUUUAGGUAGGACCAUCCUAGUUACACAUACUUUAGUUGAGCCAUAGUGAGGUUCUGGGUGCAUGAGAUGGAGGCUUCUCUUUGCAAAGUGACAAGAGAGCUAUUGUGAAUAGGAACAUGGACAAGGAAAAAGGCUCAGCAUCUCACUUCAGGGAACAUGUGGACUUUGAGAAUCUAGAAGUGUACGUUUUCAUGAACAACUGGGUCAUGUGUACUUCUGUUUGAAGUUCACAAAAUAAUUUUAGAGAUAAUACCAUGUCUCUCUCUUUUUUUGGGGGGUGGGGGGUAAAAUAUUAUUCAGUCUCUUAUUGUUCUGUGAUUUCUGAAGCCUCUUUCACUAGGUUGGCAUCUGGGGAUAUAGGGUAGAGUUCUUCCUUCCCUUACUCCCUUUUUUUCCCUUUUCUUUUUUCCUUCUGAUCUCUACAUGUACAUUUGACUAAUAUUUUGUGGUCUGGGACUACAUGUCUUGCUCACUGAAACAUUGUAUACUCUGAAGGUCUCUGAUUCUAAAUUUUAAAGGUGGUAAAACUUGUAGUCUGUCUUAUAUUUCCUAGGCAGGGUCUGGAUGGAUGGGGUCUUACACCAUGUUUAAUAUCAUUGAGUGUGCUGAUACAAAUCAAGACCUUAUGAAUCUUAUCACCCAAAUUAAAUAUUCAUUCUCACUUAUGAUCUCAUCAGUAUACAUCAAGCAGCCUCUCUGUUCCAGGCUCUGUGUUCGGUUUUAAGGAAAAUAAGAUGUGAUCUCCACUGUAGAUGACCUCAUAGGAGAGGCCUAUAGGACUGAAUGAUAACAUCUGAGAAGACCUGUAAAUGAGAUGAACAACAGGUAUCUUAGGAAAGCCAGAGACAAGUUAGUCAUUAAGUCUCUCCUAAGGGAGGUGGGAAGGUUUUGGAGGGAAGGUGAUAUUUGAACAGGUCAGGUACUAAAGAAUAGUUAGAAAUUUCAGCUAGAGGCAGAAUAUACACACUGUUGUUACACAAACUAGGAUAUGACCUACCAAACUUAAUUCCUUAUCUACAAAAUUUCUAGGGGAUAUUAGAAUUCAAUGGAGGCUGCACUUAUUAGUUUUAGAAAGGACUGAAAGUAUUGAAAUGAGUAGCAGAGAUUUUUGAAAAUGUAUUUCAUUUGAUAGGUUUCCUGUGUACUUUAGAAAUAUAAUAUAGUACAAAAUUAGUGACCCUAUUUUAAGACCCCCAAAUAAUGAACUGUUUUCUUCUAUUCUUUUAUUGUUUCUUUUUCUUGUGCAAUUAAAAGAUUUAAAAAUUAACAUCUAACCCAGGGAUUCUUAACUAUGACACUGUUAAGUUUUGUGUUAUAAACUUCUUCAAAAAAGAGCUGUUCUGCCAGGCACAGUGGGGCACACUUGUAAUCCCAGCGGUUCCAGAGACUGAGGCAGGGGGAUUGGGAGUUCAAAGCCAGGCUCAGUAAUUUGGUGAGGCCCUAAGCAACCUAAUGAAACCCUGUCUUUCUCUCUCUCUCUCUCUCUCUCUCUCUCUCUCUCUCUCUGUAAUACCUUUUUAUGUUAGUAUUUUAUGUAUGGUAGAACAUUUUAAAGUAGCUCUCUUCUUAACUCAUUAUGUUCCAUUGAGAGAGAGAGAGAGAGAGAGAGAGAGAGAAAGAGAGAGAGAGAGAGAGAGAAGGAGGGAGAGAAGAAAAGGGCUGGGGAUGUGACUCAGUGGUAAAAACACUUCUGUAUUCAAUCACUCUUACCCACCCUCCCCCAAAAGCUAUUCUGCAUAUUAAAGGAUGUGUUUUGCAUGAUCUCUGGAUGUUUCUUACCAAAUACCAAUAGAAUUUCCUAGUUGUGGCAACCAAAUGUUCCUAGAUAUGACCAAGUGACCCCUGGUAGGGUACAGGGGAAUGAACCCAUUUGAAAAUUACUGAUUCAGCUCAGUCUAAUAUUAUUGAAUCCUCUUAGUUUUUUGAGUUUUGUAUCAGAUAUCAUCCUCGAUUUAUUCCUUUCAUUUAGCAUAAUAUUAUUAGUACUAUCAUUAUUUUAUAUCUGGAUAGUCAUUAAUAAUGUAUUCUUCUAAGCAAAAACUAGAGCUAUCCUUGAUCACACUCAGAUUUUUGAGAAUCUAGAAGUGUACGAUUUUGCGGGGGGGGGGCAGUUGACAUGAUGGGGGAUAUUUCAGAGUGAUAUAGAACACAUUUUUGCACCCCAAGAGAAAUAUAUGCAUUAGGUGAUUUACACAGAAUCAUAAGGCAGGUAGGGUCCCAAGGUACAUUGCUAUCCGUGUUUAUCCUGGAUCAUAUCUCUAGUGCAUCUUUCCACAAUACAAUAAAAUACAGCUUGAAGUUCUUUUGUGAUUCCAUAGGUUAUAAUAAAUUUCCCUGGCCGGCCAGAUGUGGGGCGGGUGUUGAAGUACAAUAAGAAAAUGGAUGUUAGGAAGCACAGAUCCUACUUCAAUCUGAACUAGCUGUGAAUGCCUCCCUACUCCCAUCUAAUAGAGGUAGCAAAUCAUGAGAAAAUGGAAAAAAUAGUUAUUGUUCAGAGAAUUCUCUGAGAUGCUUACCAAUUUAAAAGUAGGGGCAGGCAGGCCAGGGUACAAUACUAAGAACAGAAAUAAAACCACAUAUUUACCACUUCAGUGCUACUUCCUGAUAUGAGGAAAAAACAUCUCUUUGCUUACCCUCUGACUCUUGAGGUUUCUUCAUUAAAUUGUCAAAAGUUUCAUUGACCAUCACAGAAAUUGAGUUUCCUCUUUUCUGAGCAAAAGAAAGAACGUUGAAUGAAUGGUAAAUGAACAAUAGUGCUUUAAAGAAAACUAAGUUCAGUGAUCACAUGAAAUUCAGUAUACUCUGAUGUGGAGAGAAUAAUUCUGAAGUUUUUCCUCACUUUUGUAGGUUAGUAUUUUAUGUAUGGUAGAACAUUUUAAAGUAGCUCUCUUCUUAACUCAUUAUGUUCCAUCAUCCUGUAUAUAGGACACCUAUAAAACUUUAAAUUGACCAUUUUGUAGGUGUCCUAUACAAUUGUAUAGAUUUUGAUAGGUAUUUUUGAUUUCCUAUAGAUAAGAUGAUGGGAUAUAACAGGUUAAAGAGAAACAUUUGAAAACUGUGAAAGUUAACUAAUGAAAAUGUACAUUACAAUCUCCAAAGAAUGCUAGUUUGAAAUUAAUCAUAGAAUCUUCUCUUUAGCAUCUAUUAAACAACUUUUUGGUUAGAGAUCUGAUUAGAAUAAACUGCUCAUUUUUUGAAGAGCUUCUAAUGUGAUACAUCAAAAAAUUAAAUGUAUGUAUCUAGUUUAAGUGGGAAGACAAUCACUGGGGAGAGAAAUAAAACACCAAAAUCCCAGCAUUUGAAUUAAUAUGUCAAUAAGACAAAUACUAAGAAAAAGACUUCCAAUUAUUUGAAGUAAAUUUAUUUUCUGCAGUUGUUUGGAGGACAAAAUCUUGUUUUACUUACACAAUGAAGACAUUCUAAACAUAAGAUCCAUCUUUGUACAAAGUCUAAUAGAAUAACUAGGAAAAAAGGGGUGUUAGUCAACAUAUCCAAAUUUUAUUUUUUAUCAAAGUGUUCAUGCACAUAUUUUAAGUGGCUUACAUUGUGUAGUGUUUUAAGAUUUACGAGGAUAAGUCUCUUUUUCUAUUUUCCUUUCUUGUGUUCCAGUUUCCAGAAAAAAUUAAACAUCUGCAAGCCGGGCUGUAAUCCCAGCUGCUCAGGAAGUUGAGGCAAGAGUAUUGCAAGUUCAAGGCCAGCCGGGGCAACCUGGUGAGGCGCUGUCUCAAAAUAAAAUUUAAAAAGGCAGGGGUGUAGUUCAGUGCAAUAGUAUUUGUUUAGUUUCCAUGAGGACCUGGGGUUAAUCCUGGUACUGCAAAACCAAAACAAAACACAUGUAAUUCAUAUCUAUUUCUUCUUGAAUUUAACUCUGUAUUUUUAUAUGUCACGAGCCAUUCAUGAGCUGUGUGUGUGCUAUGCACAUUUGAGGGGACUGGUCUGGUGUUGUAAACUGAUUGGUGAUCAGUUUACAACAGUUUACAAUUUGGUGAUGCAAAUGUGCCUUUCCUCUCACUCUGCCUGUGAUCCCACACAACACCUGAAAUGGGUGUGACUUGCCAAGUUGUCAAUCAAUCUUCUGACCACAAAAAACACAAGGCAAGUCUCACCUUCAAAUCCCUGCCUUAUUUGGUGAAGAGCAUUCCAUUGAACCUCCCUUGUAUGUGUCCCCCUAUAAAAUAUAAAGAAUCUGGGUGCAAGCUCUCUUUCCAGUGCUGCCUAGCGUAGAGCUGACCCUUGGGAUCACUGAGCAGUCCCGCCCUCUACCUUAGAAACUCAUGUUCCUGUGUUGCUUGGUUUCUUUGCUGUUUUCUCAGUUAUUGCUGCAGCCAGCUUCUUUGAACCCAGCUAAUCCCGCCGGCCUGGCCUGCUGGUGAGACACACACACACACACACACACACAUUGCAGUAAUGUGCAGUAAUGUUAGUAUUUCUUCAUUUAUAGAUUUUUAUAAUAAUUUAUUGAUCUCUUGCUGUGAUAGAUGAGUGUGCCAGAUCUCAUGUGACACCCAAUUAGAUACCCAAUUAGCUCAAUUGAAUCAAGGUAGGUAGAUGUCUAAUGAAGCUUCUUUAAAAAGAUGUUGAGUGGAUUGGCAAGAAUGCUUGCAUUUUCCUCUAAAUCCAUUCUUCUUUAGCAAAGACAGAAUGACUGUAAUUAUAGCAUGGAUUUUUAAUCAUGAGAUGGCAACAAGGAAUGGAGAGUUGGUUAGCAAAACAAUGUUUAAUAAUAGGCCUCAAAGAUAUUCUCAUUCUAAUUCCUUGAACCUUUGAACAUGUUGCCUUAUGUGGCAAAAAGAAUUUUGCAGUUGUGAUUAAAUUUAUGGGUCUUGCAUUGGCUUUUUGUGGCUUACUCAGGUGAACCUAAACUGAACACACAUUUUUUAAAAAUAGAGAACAUUUCCCAACAAUUGUCAGAAAGGACAUGAUGACAUAAGAAAGAUCAGAGAGAAACUUCCUUUUCAAAAACAACAACAAGCUUUAUUUUAGAAGACUUUUUUAUUUUGUGCAAGCUGCAAGCAGGUUUGGCUUAUUUAUUUUUUUAAUCAUAACUAUAGUUCUAGAGACAUAGUGGUCUUAGUAUUCAAAAAGCAUAUUUAAAAAACAGUAAAAAAAAAUCACACCAAGGAGAAACAACUUUUAGUUGGUUUGGAGUGGAUAACCAUUGAUUCCAGCGGUUAUCUGAAACAGGUCCACCACUUUCCUAGAAAUCAAAUACAAUGGAUUUGUCCACAGAAGGAAACUAGUUUUAAUGAGAAAGCUUCUUGUGAUGGUUAAUUUUCUCUGUCAAUUAGACUUAGCCAUGGGUGCCCAGGUAUUUAAUCAAACAUUAUCAUUACUGUGAAGGUGUUUUGGGAUAAGUUUUAACUCAUCCUAAACUUGUGGAUUAUGUAAAGCAGAUUGCCUUUCCUAAUUUAAGUUGAAAAUCUUUAUAGAACAAAACAGCUGACUAUCCCCUGAAUAUGAGGGAAUUCCUCUUGCCUGACUGCUUUUGAUCUGGGACAUAAGCGUUUCUCCUUUUUCUCACUUGAGAUAAGUCCCAGAGCUCUUUCUAGAUUUCAAGUAGUCUGGCCUUCAGACUGUUACUCAAUGUUGGCCCAUUUGGUUCUUAGGCCUUCAGACUUGGUCUGGAAUUUGCAUCAUUAGUUCUGUGUGUCUCUAACUUGGUGACUACCAAAUUGGAAAAUUCAGUCUCAUACAAAAAUAUGAACCAAUUCCAUAUAUGAAAACCAAUCUCUCUCUCUCUCUCUCUCCCUCUCUCUCUCUCUCUCUCUCUCUCUCUCUCUCCCCCCUUCUCUUCCUCUCCAUCUAAUUGGUUUUGUCUUUCUGGAAAACAAUUCUUUAUUCACUCCUUAGAAUCAUAAUGCUGUAAUAUCCCAGGUAGUGGAGGAUAUAACAUAGCACUAAUUUCACAGGGAAUGUUCAGGAUUGUGAGGUCAGCAGAUGUUAGCAUGUAGUACAGAAAGGAACAGCAUUGAAUGAAAGUGGGGAUAGAUAUGGAGAGAAAGGUGUUCCCUCACCCCAGGUCCCACUCAGCCCUUUAAAUUUCUAAAAUUCAAAGCUGUUCUGCUCCUUUUAGGAAGAACAUACUAAACAAUUAAACAAAAUUAACUCAGUAUUUUUUCCAAGAUAUGCUCUGUUCAAAAAGAAAGAGGAACCUACUCACAGUUUCCCUGAGCCAUUUCUCCUCCCAUCCAUUUCUGUUCUUGUAAGACAUCAUCCAGAUUAUGAUCUAUCAUAGCCCCAGCUCUGUCCCCCAUAUGGCAGUGAGAUCUAUAAGAAUAUACCUACAGCACUCUUCAAAGCUAAUGGAAACCAUGCACUCUUGUACUCUAAGAUAACUGGAAAGAAAAUUCCACCAAAAAUAUUCCAUUAAGCCACACAGGAUUGACACCAUUUUUAAAAUAAUACAUUAUCUCAUGUUGGGGAGUUUGUUCCAGGUUCUUUGUUUCAUCAUAGUUUUCCCCUAAAAUGCAAAUAAUUGUGAAACUUCAGAGAGUGACUUGGCAUCUAUGUAUAUAGGAAAUUGAUAUAAAAUUCCAGGACAUCUCUUUGUUAAUAAUUAGAAGAGUAGAGAUUACCAGUGGAAUGGUAGAAUACCCUUUUGGUAUUCCAGUAAUUUGUUAUGCUUGCUCUAAAGUUGAAAGAAGUGACCACAAUUCUGGGAGCGUUAGUGGUCUCAAGAAUCUGAGAAAGGUAAGGAAAGAAAUUCUCUCUUAAUGCCUCAACAAGGAAUGCAUUCCCACUGACAACUUAUUUUAGUACAGCUAAACUCAUGUUGGAUGUCUAACUUAUAGAAUUAUAAAAUUCUAAACUUGUUUUUUAGGCUAUUCAGUUAGUGGUAAUUUAUUAUAAUAUCAACAUAAGAUACAGAAGUCAAUUUUCAGAAUACUAGAGAAGAAAUACAGGAAAAACCUGGGACACUAAUUACCUCAUGAAGCAGUGCUCUGAACAUUGUGUGUGUGUGUGUGUGUGUGUGUGUGUGUGAUGGGGGGAGGGAAUAGAGAGAAGGGGAAGGAAGAAAGAGAGAAAGAACAAAUCUCUAUCUUAUCUAUGUUACUGUAUCCCUACUUGUAUUUCUCUUAAGAUGAACACCUCACAAAUACAAUGAGGAUGAUUUGUUAUUUCAAAAUUUUUAUUCUUAUAAAAUUGUCUUACAUUGCUGAUGUCUACCAAUAUCUUUGAAGAUCAAGUUGAUAGAUUUCAUUUCAUUUCUCUAUGUAUUUUAAAUUUUGAUUUGCAAGUUUUCUUGGAAUGAAGUGCAGUUUUAACUUUUGAUCGUAAAUUUGCAAUUCCAUAUUAGCUAUAUUUUAUGAUCUAGCAAGAUUUCUAGAUAAGUCAUGUAGUUUUCCUUUCUACUAAUGUUUAUUGAUUGUAGUGUUUAAAUUGGCUAAGUGGGUAGAAAUGCAUCAACAAUUUAGUUAUCUUUAAACAUCAUAACAUAUGCAUUCUUAAUCACAUGAUUUAUUUUAGGAAUCUAUUCAAGAAUUUAGAAAGGAUUGUGUAAACAGAUUUAAACAUCAUAUAGGUAAAAUCUACUUCUUUUGGGAUGAGAAUGAGUAUAGUCUUACUAAGUUCACCCUCUGACUGUGGCCAGAUGAGUAAGAUGAUUGAUAACAAGAUCCUUAAUAUUCAGCUUUCCCCAUAGUACAACCUGAUGUUUUGUAAGUAUUUUUAAACGACAUAAAGGAUUCAGAUGAAUAAGUGAAAAAAGUAGAGGCUAGAUACCAGGGAGAAAUCAAAGUAACGAGAGAGGAAGCAUUCCUAUUUUUUUGAGUUAGAAGUAUAUAAUAAAAGAAAUAUAAAAUUACCUGGAGAUCUACUGCUAACAGUCCAACUGCUUUGAUUUUCAAAUAUCUACUUCUUAUGUUUUUCAAAUUUCUGUUUUGUCUCAUACCAUUAUUUAAAUAUGGAAUGUCUGAAUAGAAGUUUUGUUUUGUUUGGCUACUUAAAUCUAACUGAAAGUCCAAGUCAUAUUCUAUAUCACUCAUAGUAUGUCUAUGUUUUACUCAUUCCUUCAGUAGAUUGGGAACUGGUUUUGUACCACAGCAUACAGAAAAGUGUCUAUACAUAGUGGCUGCUCCAUUAGCCCUUAUGUUGAAAUGAACAUCAUGAUUAAGUCCAUGAUAAAUUCUGAAUAAUUUUAAGUUGUAAGUCCACCAUUUUUUUUUCAUAUCAUUUCUGGGAACUUUUACAUUUUUAUUUUGUCAUUGCAGUAUAAACCUUGACAGAAGGGAAAUUUCUCACAUAUCGGCAGUAUUAUUUUUGUUCUUGUUUCUCUUUCAGCAUUUGUCACAAUGUCUUAUGCAUAUAAAAAUCAAUACAUAGCUGUUGAUUACAAAAACUGUAGAGACUCAUAGGGUAAAGGAUAAGAGAAAUACAUAUUAUUGAUAAAGUAGAAGGAGAAAAAAAUAUUUAGUUUCUUGGACACACUUACUAGAAAAUAAACAUUAUGGUUUAAAUAUAGGUAUUGAAUCCCCAUUGUCCAUGUGUUAAAGGUGCUGUGAGGCGGUUUUACCUCCUCAUGAUAAUUAUUAGUGUGCUCCCAAAGGGGAUGGUGGGACCCCAGUCCAUUCUCUCUUCCUUCCUGCCUUGUGGUGUAAGUGAUUUACUCCACCAUGUGCUCCUGCUAUGAUGUGCCACCCUUGACAGAGAACCAGUCAGAGCUACCUGAUCUUGGACUGUAAACUCCUGGCCCUUCAUGGCUUCAUUACCCACAUAAACCUUUUAAUUUUAUAAGUCAAUUGUCAUGAAUAUUGAGUUAUAAUAAUGAAAAAAAUGAUAUAAUAACAAAUGUAAACUAAAAAUAUUUAAUGCUUUUAUGGCCAAACACUUUAGGACUUUUAAUAGGCCAGGGUUUAUGGACAGAACCUCAAAAGCCAAAGGAACAAAAGUAAAAAUAGACCAAUGGCAUUACAUCAAACUAAAAAGCAAUAAAAAAAAAGGAAACAAUCAACAGAGUGAAAAAGAAGGGGUGGGAGGGAAAGAGAGGGGGUAGGGAGUUAGCAAGGAUGGUGGAAUGUGAUAGAUAUCAUUAUCCAAAGUACAUGUAUGAAGACAUGAAUUGCGGUCAAAAUACUUUAUAUACAACCAGAGAUAUGAAAAAUUGUGCUGUAAAUGUGUAAUAAGAAUUGUAACGCAUUCUGCUGUCAUUUAGUUUUUAAAGAAUCAAUCAAUCAAUAAAGUUAUUGGCAAAAAACAGAAUAUGUAGAAUGAGAGAAAUAUUUGCAAACUAUAUAUUUGACAGGGAACUAGGAACCAAUAUCCAAAAUACAUAAGGCCCUUCAAAAACUCAAUAGCAAAAAACCAGUUGCCCAAUUAAAAAAUGUGUAGUAGACAUAACCAGAUGUUCCUCAAAAGAAGACAUACAAAUGGCUUAUGAAAAAUGUUCAACAUUGCUGAUAAUCAGGAAAAUGCAAAUCAAAAACACAGUGAGAAUGGCUCACUCCAAUAAAAAUGGCUAUAUUUAUAAAGAACCAAGGAAGAGCAAGUGCAGAUGAAGGUGUGGAGAAAAGGAAACACUUUCACAUGUUGGUAGGGAUAUAUGUUAUUGCCGCAGUCCAGCUGCAGCAAAAUAACCGGGGGGUGACAAAUAACUUGUGUAGAUCGAUAUAGCAGGAGUAGGAGCCAUUUAUUGUAGGACAGGAGCAGUAUAUAUACAUUCCACACAGCUUAUCUUAAUUAACAUAAACUCGAUACAGCAGUCAACCAAUAAGGAAUCUCCACACUUAAUUAAUGGCUCGCUGGAGUUACUUCACAAACCACUCCCUCUGGCAAAAUGCCAGGCACCAUCCAGACUUGUUUACAGACUCUAACAUUUCCCCCUUUUGUUUAAUUUAAAUAAUGAUGAUAGUGGUUUUUACACAAACACCAUAAAUAAUCUGCUACAAGCAGAAGGGGAGGAUACAAAAUGCCGCAAUACCAAGCCAAUUGAUGGCUCCAUGAAAGAAGCCCUUGGAAAAAUUAUACCAGCAAUGACACCGUAAGCAAAGAUACCGAGUUACAAUUUGCUGUAGAUUACAGUUUGUUGUCUCAGUCCAGGUAAAGAAGUGUCUCAAUAUAUUAACUCACAGUCCAGGUAAAUCACAGUCCAGGUAAGUUCACAGUCCAGGUAAGUUCUGCAGGCAGCUAGCUUGAUCCAAAGUCUCGUCCGGUUCUCAGCAGCACUGGAAAUUCUUCCAUCCUCGUCUUCACCGGCACUGGGAUGAAGGCAGGAACUCCGGAUAGCUAAAGAAAAUCCUGUAGUAUUCCAGCAGGCACUAAGAAAACAAUCUUCUGAACAAUUUAGUACAUUAUCUCAAGGUUUUUUACAUUUUAAAUAAGCCUUAAUAGUGCUCAUUACUCAUUAGCUUCCAGGUGUGGGAGAACCAUUGCAGUUACUGGCCUUGGAAAUGAUCAAACUUCAGGGACACGGGCCCAUCUUCCACUUACAGUGUCCCAGGUAGCCCCAGAUGGCCCCGGGGAGAGUCCGGGGAGUCUGGACUCAAACUGCCACUGGGCACAGGGAGCAAGAGCCUGCGAGACUGUGCCUCCGGGUCAGGUUUGGAUUUGGGCUCUCGCAGUGGCAUCCUGCUCCCCAGGCAGGGGGUGGGGAAGAGCCGGCUGCCGCAGCUUGGAAAGUCCUUGCUGUGCCAUGACCCUCUCGCGCACACACGUGGCAGCCGCGAUUCACGCACCCUCCGGUAAUGAAAAGUAUUCAGUAAUAGCCUUUUUCUGCAACUUUUUUCCUGAUAAUCCUUCUUCUUCUGAACUUUCUUUUUCUUUCUGACUAGAGUUCCUGGGCUCUUAUCAAUACAUGCCCUAAUUGCCCUUGGUUCCAUUGGGGUGCCUUCUUCCCUUAGUAAUUUACUUAACACCCCUUCCAUAUUUUUAUCACAAAGAUAAUACAACAUUUCAAGACAAAACAAGAUACAAACAUACUGUAUCAAUCUUUUCCAUUUUCUCAAAAUGGCCAUUUUUCCUCUCGCCCUAUCUGCCUAAGGACGAGCAGAUUUUCUCCCGUCCUAUCUAGGGACGGGCAGCUUUUUUUUUCAUCACUUACCCCCUAGUGUCCCGGGAUCCCCGUACGGGCCACCAUCUGCCGCAUCUGCCGCAGUCCGGCUGCAGCAAAAUAACCUGGGGGGGGGGGUGCGAAUAACUUGUGCAGAUUGAUACAGCAGGAGUAGGAGCCGUUUAUUGUAGGACAGGAGCGGUAUAUAUACAUUCCACACAGCUUAUCUUAAUUAACAUAAAGUAGAUACAGCAGUCAACCAAUAAGGAAUCUCCACACUUAAUGGCUUGCUGGCGUUACUUCACAAAUCACUCCCUCUGGCAAAAUGCCAGGCGCCAUCCAGACUUGUUUACAGACUCUAACAUUUGACAGGUGCCAUCCUGACUUGUUUACAGACUCUAACAUGUUAUUAUAGCCAUUAUGGAAAAUAGUAUGGCCUUGAAAAAUUAAAAUUGGUACUACAUAUGGUCCAGCGAUCCCACUGAUAUUACACAUCCCAAAGAAAUGAUAUCAGCACAUUGAAGAGACAUCUGCACUCUCCUGUUCAUUGCAAUACUAUUCACAAUAUCCAAGAAAUGAAAACAACCUGCAUACCCAACUGGUGAAGAGAUAAAGAAAAUGGGCUGUAUAUACACAAUGGAAUACUAUUCAUCCAUUACAACUAUGAAAUCCUGUAAUUUGAGACAAUAUGGAUGGAAAAGGAGAUCACUAUAAGUCAAAUAAAGUAAUCAAUGUACAGAAAGAUAAGUACAAUAUGAUCUCACUAAUAUGUGGAAUAUAAAACUUUGAUCCUAUAAAAGUUGAGAAUAGAAUGGUGGAUACCAGAACCUGGUGAAAAUGGCAGGAUCGGGAAUGUAGAAAGUUUCAUCAAAUGGUACCAACUGGCAGUUAGAUAGGAGUGAGAAGUUCUGGUGUAUAUUGCACAGUAGAGUUACUAUAUAUAGCAAUGAUGUACUACACAUUUCAAAAAGGUAUAAAAAAGAUUUUGGACAUUUUCACAAUAAAGAGAGGAUAAAUGUUUGAUAUGUUUACCCUGAUCUAAACUUUAUGCUAUGUAUACACAUAGUGAAACAUCAAAUGCUAUCCCAUAAAUAUAAACAAUGCUUAAUGCAUUAGUUAAAAAUAAAUUUUAAAAAUAUGUAAAUGCUUUUGUGAUUUAUAAAAUACUUGUGAUAUGUUUGUCUACUUUGUGUGACAGCUGUUAUUAGCUAAAUUAUGUGCCCAAGAAAAUAGAAGGUUAAUGAGUCUGUUAAAAAAAAAAAAAACACUUUGGCAUUAAAUGACAGUGUUAUAAUUAUUAAUUUUAUUUAAUUAUUUUAUAAUUAUUAAUUAAUGUUCUUAUUACUGUUAUAACUCUUACUUUGCUGUAAACUGUAUAUUUGACAAAGAACUAGGAACUGUGCUGGAGAUCAAAAUGGUGGUCUUAUGCAUGUUAAUAAACCUAGCAAUAUCCUCAGUCCUGUUAUGAUUACUUGAUGUUGGUGGUCAAGGUGGAUAUGACUGUCAAAUAUUUUCACAAGGGCAAUUACAUUAGAGAAUAUCACAUCUAUAUAAUUGUCCAGUGAGCUUGAUAGAUGUAACUGGUUUGGAUAUAUUUUCCUACGAUGGUACCAUUAAUUUCAGAUUCUGGGGAAAGGGCCUUGGGCAAGAAAGCAUUUUUAUUCAGAACAAUUUUGUUUAGUAUAAUGCAUAAUACAUAAGUCAUAAUGGAGCCAUGCAUUGAUAUAGGAAUCAGAAAUAGUUGCUUGCUAAUUUAAAAAAUUCAAUAGUGAAGUAAAAAGACUAUUUAAUUAUCAUAGGAAAAUAAUUAUCACUAAUUAAAUAGACUUCACUUCCAAAAUAGAUGUCUAGGAUAAUCAUAUAUAAAGGAUAGAUUUAAAAUACUCAAUUGAAGUUUAAAUGUCAUAAGGAGAUAACUAUUUGAUGAGUUCCUAGGGUGAAAAAAAUUAUAGAGGAAAUCUUUACACUAUAACUUAUCUGAUUAUGAAUAUAUUUUUUGUUACCACAUUAGCUUAAAGUGAUUGUACUCUCACAAAAAUCUUUUCAUUUUCUUUAACUUGAAGCACAUAAAGGAUAGGAGGUUUCAUGCAUGGGAAUUCAUUGCAAAUUUUGACUGGGAAUUUCACUUAAACUCUAGGACAUUCUUUUUGAGGUUUUAAGAUGUGUGAUUUAAAGGAAAACAUGAUGCAAAUUAGGCUUUCGAAUGGCCUGGUUUAUUUAAAAAGAAGUGUACUUCAUGAAUUUUUUUGUUUCAUCUAAAAUACCUUAAAACUGGAUGUAAGGAUAGAAAAAUUAGUGUCUGUUUUAUUUUCAUUUUUAAGUCCUGGAAAACAGAUUGAAAUUAAACAAUAGAAUGAACAACAGUGUAACAAGUAUCACUCCUUCCUAGAUUUACUGUUACCAAAAAACAUUUAUUGGCAUUGAUCCCUUUAUUUCUAGUUGCCAAUAAAAUAUUAUGUUUGCUUUUGAUAAAUGUAAUCAUUUGUCUCAAAAUUCCAAGACAAUUCAGGAAGACUUUGUAUUUUAGUCAACAUUAAAUUAUAGUUUUUAUAAUUACAUAUUAACUACUAAAUGCAUAUGAAGCACACUGCUAAGAUAUUUGCAUGUGUAUUACUUCACUCAAUGCAGGCAAUGGCUACAUGAGGUUAUUAUUAUUUCAUCCAGAAAAGGAUGGUAAUAGGUUUAACGAUGUUAAGUAUGGUCCAGAGUCAAAUCCUGGCAAUGUGAUUUGAGAAGCCACACUCCUAGAUACCUUCAAAGAUGACUGUGUUUUAACAUUAAAAAGAGAUUUUAAAAAUUGAAGUGGACAUAAAGAUAGAGUUGAGAGUAAUAACCUGCCAUCACAACAUAUUUCUAACAGAACAUAGUAAAAUCUUCUUUUUUAGUUUAAAAAAAAUUGUUCCAAUUAUUUAUACAUUACAGUAGAAUGCAUUUUGUUUCACUGUACAUAAAUGGAGCACAGCUUUUCAUUUCUCUGGUAGUAUAUGAUGUAGAGUUGUACCAUAUGUGCACUCAUAUAUAUACCUAGCUUAAUGAUGUCAGUCUCAUUUCACCAUCUUUCCUAUGCCCAUGUCCCCACUCCUUCCCUCCUUCCCCUUUACCCAAAGUUCCUCCAUUCAUUCCAGGCUCCCCCCACCCCAUUAUAGAUUAGCAUCCACUUAUGAGGGAGAACAUUCAGCCCUUGUUGUUUUGGGAUUGGCUUACUUCACUUAGCAUGAUAUUCUCCAACUCCAUCCAUUUACCUGCAAAUGCCAUAUUUUUAUUCUCUUUUAAGGGUGAGUAAUAUUUCGUUGUGUAUAAACCACAGUGUCUUUAUCCAAUUAUCUACCGAAGGACAUUUAGGUUGCUUCCACAGUUUAGCUAUUGUAAAUUGAGCUGCUAUAAACAUUGAUGUGACUAUGUUACUAUAGUAUGCUGAUUUUAAGUCCUUUUAGUAUAGACUGAGGAGUGAGAUAGCUGGGUCAAAUGUUGGUUCCAUUCCAAGUUAUUAAAGAAAUCUCCAUACUGAUUUCCAGACUGGUUGCACCAAUUUGCAGUGCCACAAGAAAUGUAUAAGUGUUUCCUUUCCCCCACAUCCUCGCGAACAAUUAUUGUUGCUUGUAUUGUUGAUAAUUGCCAUUCUGACUAGAGUGACAUGGAAUCUUAGAAUAGUUUUGAUUUGUAUUUCUCUAAUUACUAGUGAUGGUGAACACUUUUUUCAUAUAUUUGUUGACUGUAUAUCUUCUUCUGUGAAGUAUCUGUUCAUUUCCUUAGCCCAUUUAUUGAUUGGAUUAUUUAUUCUUUUAGUGUUGAAUUUUUUUGAGUUCUUUAUAUAUCCUGGAAAUUUGUGCUCUAUCUAAUGUUCUUUUAGUAAAGAUAUUCUCCCACUCUGUGAGUUCUCUCUUCACAUUGUUGAUUGUUUCCUUUGCUGAGAAGAAGCUUUUUAGUUUGGAUCCAUACCAUUUAUUAAUUUUUGAUUUUAUUUCUUGCACUUUAAAAGUCUUUUUUAAGGAAGUCAGGACCAAAUCUGACAUGAUAAAGAUUUGGGCCUACUUUCUCUUCUAUUAGGCACAGGGUCUCUGAUCUAAUUCCUAGGUUCUUGAUUCACUUCGAGUUGAGUUUUGUGCGAGGUGAGAGAUAGUGGUUUAAUUUCAGUUUGCGGCAUAUGGAUUUCCAGUUUUCCUAGCAUCAUUUGUUGAAGAGGCUAUCUUUUUGCCAAUGUAUGUUUUGGGUGCCUUUGUCAAGUAUGAGAUAACUAACUGUAUUUAUGUGCAUUUGUUUCUGAGGACACAGUGAAAUCUUCAAAGUGUUACCUUAUACUUUACCUUUCUACCUAUCUCUCUGUUUUACCCUGAACCUUAAAUAUAGCUGAGUGGAUUGAAGGAUGCUAGGACAUAUAAUGUGCAGGGGUUCUUCAAGUCAUGAAAAAAUAUUUAAAAUGUAAAAAGGAUUAUGAAUAUAACAUUUUAUUUAUAAUAUAUUAUUUAAGAGGAUUAAGAGCCCUACAUGAAAAUUUGCAUAUACAAUUUUCUUAGAAAUUAUUUUUUUUCAAAUGAAAAGUAAUUAUGGAUAAUGUUAUCUAUUUUUACAUUCAUUAAAAUCAUGCAUUCAGGAAUCCAGUAGCAUAGUUUGUAAUACCAUAAAAUUAAAAUUAAAAUAUAAUGAAUUUAUAAAUGUUAAAAUCAAAAUCCAUGGAUAUUGUGUAUGUGUUUGUGAUUGUAGUCUAUGAUUUUCCUGACCUCACCAACUUUUGGUUAAAAAUAUGUUCAUAUUAAUAUUUCACUGAUACACAUUUUUGCCUUUUAUUCAAAAUUCAAACUAUUGGUAGGCUACACUGAAUGUUUUAUUUUAAUCUCUCAUAAAUUUGUGAUAAGGUUAUUUUCUAUGGUAUUCUGCAUGUCUCUCACCAUCUUGGUGUGCUAACCACUAAGUUACUUUAGUUGCUUGUACAUGAGUUGCUACAGCUACCAAGGUCUAUUGGAAUCAUCCUGAUGGCUGUGUGAACAUGCCAGGUGUCAUAUUUCCAGAGAUUCUGGUCUGGUAUGCUCUAUAUUUUUGAAGUUAAAAGAGCCUCAAGAUUAUGUUAUCAAGAAUAGGGAAAAUGACCCUUUGCCAUGUUUUAUAUUACACUUUAUUGCCUAUGUACCAAACAGGUGUACAUUAUAGAACUAAGUUUCAGAAAAUUAUACACAAAAUCAGUUUUUAUAACUUUAUCCUGAAAUAUUUCCUUUUUCUGUUUUUGGUCAUGUGUUUAUAUGGUUAUAGGCCUUGGAAAUUUUGUCUUCAACUCACUUUGCUUUGCUCUUUCGAGUUCCUCUCUGACAAAAUACAUCAAAAGCCCUCAUUUUAAAAGACCAAAGUAAAUCAGUUCUCUAUAGGAUUAGCUAUUGUGGUGGUUAAUUUGAUGUCAGAUUGGCUGGACUGCACUGACUAGAUAUGUAGUAGUAGAAAAUCCUUCCAGCAGAUAAUAUGCAGAUUUGAACUGAAACAUUGUCUUGUUCCUGAGUCUUCAUCUUGAUAGCAUGGAGAUUUGGGAAUUGCCAGCACCAUAAUCUCACAAGCCAGUUCUCAUUUUUUUUUUCUCUCUCCCUCUCUCUCUUUAACACACACACACACACACACACACACAUCCUAUAGAUUUCAUUUCUCUGGAGAAUCUUGUGAAUUAUAAUUGCCAUGUUCAAAUUUGGAUUACUGUCUUAAAUUUCAAGUUAAUAAUUUUGUAAAUUUGUAUAUGCAUAUUUUGAAGAUUUUUUAUAUUGCAAAAAUAUAUUCCAUGUAGGAAUAUUUAACUCUAUGAAUCAUUUUAAAGGAAUAUCUGUGUAAUUACAAAUGAGAAUAAACUGCUGAAGAAUGCCAGCAUGAUCCAUCUUCCUUUCUUGCCACUCUUCAUAAAUAACUACCAUCUAAAGACUUGCUUGAAUUGCUUAUCAAGAUUCCCAUACAAUUAGACUCAUAUUUUAUAUAUUGUUUUGUGCUUGGCUUCUUUUGCUUGGUAUUUGUGCUUAAUGUGUGUGAAUUUCUAUUGGGCAUAUAUGUAGAAGUACAAUUGGUAGAGUACAUAUUUAUUAAAAUUUGGUAGAUAAUGCUGAACUUUUUUUCCCCAAGUGCUUAUAAUAAUUGAUACUCCCUCCAUUAUUAUAUGAUGUGAUAUCAAGUAGAUUGCAGACUUUCUAAAUUAUAGUGCAUUAUGAUUUGGAUGUGAAUGGUCCCCCGAGACUCCUGUGUUGAAGACUUGGUUCCCAAAUGCAUCAAUGUUCAGAGGUGGAGCUUUGGGGAAGUGAUUGUUAUCAUGAGCACUCUGACCUCAUCCGUUGAUGAAUCCAUUGAUAGCUAAACUAAUUACGGGGAGGUGGUAGAAACUGUAGGCAGUGGACCAGGUUGAAGGAAGUAGGUCACAGAGGGUGUGGCCUUGGAGGGACAGGGACACUUUCCUGUCCCUGUCCCUGUCCCCCUUUUUUUCCUUUCUCUGUGUCUCUCUCUGAUUUGCAUCCAUCAUGAGGUGAGCUACUUUCUCUCCAGCAAUGAUAUUUUGCCUCUCCUGGAACCCAAAGCAAUGGAGCUGGCUGACCACAGACUGAAAUCUCUGAAAUCAUGAACCAAAAUAAAUCUUCUUUUAAGUUAUUUAUGUCAGGUAUUUUGAUUAUAGCAACAAAAACUGACUAUCACAUAGUAAUUUUUUAUCCUGUAUAUCUUGUGCAGUGCUAUUUCAUUCCAGUUUCAGCUAACAUUUCCCUGAUAAUAAUGAUUUUGAACACCUAUUUUUUAUACACAUUGGCCAUCUGAAUUUAUUGUUUUUUGAAGCUCUUAGGUAAGACUCUUCCUAUAGUUUUAUAAAGUGGGUUAUUUGACUGUAAAAAGCAAUUUGCAAGAACUCUUUACAUGCCCUGUGUAAGACCAUUUUUUCCUAUAUGUCUUGCAAAUAUCUUCCCUAAUCUAUGGAUUGUUUUUUCAGUGUGUUAAUGUUGUCUUUUGAUGAAAAGAUACUCUUAGUUUUAAGUAGAGUUUGUAUUACAAGCCUUUACGUUUUCUGUUAAUUUCUUUAGUAUCUGGUUAAAUGCUAAUUAUUUAUAUUUUGCACCAUGAAGUCACAAACAUAAUCUCUCUGAAUAUUUUGUAGAAGAUUAUUUGAUCACUUUCUGUGUCUAAAUCUACAAUGAAUUUAGGAUUCAUUUUAUGUUUUAUUAUAAUUGGGAUCUGGCAAAACUAUUUAACGUAACAUAACUUAAUGGAAAUUCAUGUUCUACAUUGUGGUAAAAUGAGCAGUCAUAUAGAUAAAUAUCCACAUGUUUCCGUUUGUUUUUUACCUCUCUUGUUUCAUUGGUUUAUAUUUGUCCUUGCUCAUCAAAAUGGUCUUUGCUACUCCUAGUGCUUUAUAUUUCCACAUAUGUCUUAGAAUUAGCUUAUCAAGAAUCACAAAGAGAAAAAAAAACUGCAGUCAGAAUAUUUGUAAGAAAGACAUACACAUAUAUAACAUCAAUUUGGGUAAACUGACAACAUUCUGAUGUUGAAUUUUCAAUUCCAUGAACAUGUCAUAUCUUAAUUAUAUGGUUUUCAUUAAUAUUCUUAAUAAUCUUUCUUAUAACCCUAGAUAUAUCACACUUUUUGUUUGCUUUAGUCUUAAGUAUCUAAUUUUUAUAUUAGUAUAAAUAACAUAUCUUUUAAACCAUUUGUUCCAAGCUGGGAUGGGGAUACAACUGAGUGUAGAGUGCUUUCUUAGCAUGCAUAAGGCCUUGGGCUCAGUCUGUAGCACUGCAAAGAAAUAAAACUAUUUGUUCAAAAUCUUAUUGCUCAAAUAAAAUUACAAUGGAUUUUUAUAUAUCAACAUUAUAUUUGGCAUUGUCCCUAAAUAUACUUAAUAAUUCUCAAAGUUUUUUUUAGUUUUACUAUUUAUGGAUUGCCAAAGCACGUAAUCACAUCAUUCAUUGCUGACAACUUUAUCAAUUUUGAAUGGCCUUUAUAAUUUUGUAUGUCCCAAGAUUGAACCAAGGAUUGUGCAUGCUAAGCACUUGCUGUACAACUUCCUUGUUCUGAAUCUGAUGUUCUGGGAAAGAAGUUCCUACCAUUACAUUGUAGGUUUGCUAAAGGAUUUUUGAAUGUAGUUAAUAUGAAAUUAAGGUAGUUCCAUUCUAUACUUCACUUACUAUUUUAAUAAUUAAUUAAUAUUUAAUAUCUUUAAAUUCCUUCUUAAAUCUUAUAUAACUAUAUGCAUUGGAUUAUUUGUUCUUAUAAUGUAUUUAGUUUAUAUCAUUUUAAUUUCAAAUGUUGAAAUAACCUUGAAUUCUUGGAAUGAACUCAAUUUUUUCCUGGUAGCUUUUGAAAUAUUGCUAUAUUCAUUUUGCAAAUUAUUUAUUUGGAAUAUUUAUAUCUAUGUGAAGAGAUUAGCUUGUGAUACUUCUAUCUUAUAAUUUAUCAUCAAAUUUUGAGUUAUAGUGUUAAGAGUUAUAAAAUAAUUUUUGAAAAGUGUUGAUUUUUUUCUCUAUCUUCUGAAAUAUCUGCAUAGAAUUGGUCAUAUUUAUUUCUUAAAUGACCACAAGAAAUCUAACAUUCCCUAUAUUUGAUAUUUCCUUAUGAGAUUUACAGGUCAUAUCUUUAAUCAUCCUCAGAGGAAUACCCUGAGAUUGUAGUGAUGUUUUGAUAAGAGUCAGAAUAAUCAGAAAUCUAUGUUUUCUGCAUGGUUAUGUAUCGAAAAAGUGACUGUGGCAGGAGAAUAAAAGCCUACCUCCCCUACCCCUAGGUAGGGUAAUCAUUACUGCAUAAUUCAUACUCCAAAUUGUCUUGUAGGACUAUGCCUAAGUCUAUUCCUGAAGUUGUAUCCUUGCUUGGACAUUUCACUGUCAUGUCCUGUGGGUUUAUCAUGCCUUACUGGUUUAUUCCUAUAACAUGUCCUGAACAAGUCACUUUCUGGGUUUGUUUCUAGGAAACUUGACUUAGAAACAGUGUUUGUACUUUAAUUCCCUGAUUAAAAAACAACAACAACAAUAAACGAGCAAACAUGAAGGCAUGAGAAAAUGGUCACUUAGCUUUUUCUAAAGCUUAAAAGCUUAUAGUCUAAUUUUAUCAUGUCUAUAUUUGUUUAAUUUAUACCUAAAUUCUGAGGAGGAAAAUCCUUGAGCCAUAAUCAUGGUGGAAGCAAAAUUAUGACAUCCAGAUCAAAUUUGUGCUCUGGGAAGGCUGUUGUGCUAUGUCAGGUUUUUUCAAAGGGUCAGGCAUCUAAUAAGUUUUAAAUGAAUUUAGUUAUAUUUGAAGGAGAUAGGUUUUAAGAGGUUUCAGUUUAAAAGAAGCUUGUGGAAGCUUGAAAAGAUAAGUAGAUAAGCAAAACUUCAAUAGCAGUAAAAAAGGAAUUCAUAUGUGUGUGCAUAUUAAAAUUAUGUAUAUGUGUGUGCAUAUGAAAACUCCCUAGCAUAUUUUCAAAGAUAUUUUAAAGUAUGUAACCACCUCCGUUAUCUUCUUCCAAAGAUUGGGGAAUGAUCUUUAGUCUCUUUUUUCAUCUCCCUUAACAUCUUUUAAAUUAAUUAAAUAACACCAGUCUUCUAUAUUUGAUGAGAAAGCUCAGUAGAGAGAAACACAGGUGAAUGUAAUUAAAUCUAAUGAUUUAUUGAAUAUUGUCAUAAUCAUUCAAUUUUAAGUAAAGAAAAAGAGAAGGCAGGAGAAAAGUGGGACAGUGUAUCAGAAAAUAUGGACGACUGUUUAACCAGAAAUUUUUAAUGACUAUUACUAAGCUACUGAGUUAUUGAAUAUGUUGAAUUUGGUCAUCUGAUAACUGAUGAGCCAAUUUUAUGAGGUAUAGCAAAUGGAUAUUGAGUCUUGUUAAAAUAUAAAUGGAAAGGGAGAGAAAAAGAAGAUUUCAUUUGUGAAUACAUGUUGAGAGAGGUUUGGAUGUUGAAAGAAGAAAAAAAAUUAAACAAAGCCUGGAGAGUAGAACAUGUGUUCGUGCUGUGCAGAUAAGGUAGACAGAACAUGAUUGAAAAACAUGUGUGAAUAACAUAGCAAAGUCUUGGACAAGAUAGUGAUUGUUCAGUACAUAUUAAGCAUUGGAACCUAUUAGGAAUUAAUUUGGAUUGGUGGAAAGGAAAAUAUGGAUGUAUUUAUAAGCCAUGCACACAGUUUGGUGGUGGGUUAGUGAAGGAGUUUGUAACAAAUGUCUAACUCAGUGUGCUGUAACCAUAUUCUAUUUUGGAGACAACAAACAAAAUAUGAAGAAGGAGUAAGCUAAUGGAAAUAAAGCAACAAUUAACUUGAGUUGGAAUAACCAGAUUUUGCAUCAGAUAAACUAUACCACCACUUUACACACUUAUCCAAAUCAAGAGUGACUAUUUAGUUAGCACUGAAUAAGCUAAUCUCUUUCAUAUGAAUACUGGUCAAAUAAAUUAUGAUCUGAGAGUAAAGCAAGAGGGUCCUACUGAAACACAGUUUUACCUGUUUCUUCUGUUCUAUACCCUAAGAAUUCCUUUGCAUUUUAAAAUUUCUUUACUAAUUAAAUGUCCUAAAGACCAACCCCAUAGUCCCUUGGCUUGUGCAAAGCUCCAAUGUACUUUGAAGUUGAUUUCAAAGCACACAUUUGCGUUUGUCAUGCUCUUGAAUUCCAGUUUUUCUUCUGCUCCCUAACCAUGGGAAGAAUGUGUGUGGAUACCUGGUUCCCCACAGGAACCAGGCAUCCACACACAUAUACACACACUCCAGACAUGUCCUAUUUUCAUCUUGAAAAACUGAAGGCAGUGCAAUUCCAUCUCAGAAGAGGACACAGGAAAACAUGAGUUAGGACAAAUGACUUUUUUAUGCAUGUAUUUGCAGGGAAUGUACUGAAAAAUCAAGCUACUCAUUCAUUUAUAUACAAACAUGACUCUAAAAGCACAUUAUUCUGUUUUUAUUAUUCAUGUUUUUCCUCAUUAUUUUUUCCAGAGCUUUUACCAUAUUACUUUUGUAUAUUUGAUGAUUUGCUAUAUUUCCUGACCACCAUAAUUUUCUGGGACUCCAGACACAUUUAGUUGCUCAUUUAGAGGAUGAAUUUCAAUUAAUUUCCAUAUAAAAUAUUAGGAAAUAAAUUAUAAAACUAAUUUUAACUUUUAUUUUUCCUAACUUUUGGGACAACUAUUUAGGUUCAACCCAUUUAUUGCUUACAAAUCUUUUCCCUAAUAAAGUAUGAUUUGAGCAAGUGAUCACAUUUAAUAAUAUAUGUGUAUCAUUUUAAAUAUUGGGAUUCUUAUCUUAUGGAAACUAUAGUGAUAUAAUCUUUAAAUAAUUUUUAAAUUUAACUUUAUGAUAUCACUUUUAUAGCAUACAUUUUUGUGGCAGUCAUCAAUGCUCUCUGUGUGUGUUUAUAUCAAAUUAGAUAAAGUUUUAUUGAAAGAUUGCAGUGAUCCUUUACACGCAGCAAUGAUCAAGCGUCUCAGUGUCUUCAAAAUAUCCUAAACCUUGGUUAAAAGUUUAAAAUGAAUUCUUUUGACUUCUUCUUAUACUGUUCUCUUUUGCUUUAAUUCCCUGCUAUAAUUUUUUUAUUCUUUAUCAAAAACUUUUCUUGUUCAGAUUACUAUAUGUUUUUCUGUCCCCUGACUGAAACCUCAUUAUUAUAAUCAAUAAUAAAGCUCUGUGUUUUAUAUGUCUCUUGUGAUAUUUAAGAUUUUCCAGUGUGUGAGGUUGACUGGUUGUGUAUAAGACAUGCCUAACAUGGACGAAUUAGUAGCCCAGGAGCUCCCAAAGGCCAUCGCUUAUUUAUGAUAUAAUUUACAUGUAAUAGCUUAUUGUUACUUUGAAACUUAGGUAAUAAGACAAUGAAAAUAAUUUAAUUAGUGGAGGUAACUUGGCUAAGCAAAAUAAAGAAAGAAAGAAAAAACAGAAAGAAAGAAAAUGCAAAUCAUCCCAACAAGAUGGUUUAAAACAUAUGAUUGUGGUAAGUUCCAAGUCAGUUUUAUUUUCACACUGAAAUAAAUAAAUUUAAAGCAUAAACAUGCCAGAAAGUAGUCAUUCCCAGGUAUUUUAAAAUUCAUGUUUUGAGUAAGUAAUGCAUGAUUUCACUGCAGACUUAGAAAGAUCUACCUCAACUGGAAAAAAACUACCUCAACUGGAAAAGUAGAGGGCACUUUUUUUUGUGGGGCGGGGGGAGGACCUCUCUACUCCAAAAAUGCAUAUUAAGUUAGGAGUUAGUGGAAUCCUAAGAAGGAGAAAGUACAUUCUAGUGAAGGGAAUGACUUCUUCAACCAUGCACUCCUGGUAUCUAGCACACGUUCUUAAGCAUUUUUGGUACUCAAUAAGUUUGUUGAAUGGAUGAUUGAAUUUAUCUAUAUGAGGCUGGGGUUUUACUUCUCCCUUUAUAAAGUACAAUAUUAGAAGUUUUAAGAUUGUGAGGAAGAUAUGGGUUCAUAUAAAAGAUAACUAAUUUUUUGUUCUAAAAAUAUAGUCUUAAUUAUAGGUAAUGUCAGAUAGUAGCUGGUUGGAUACUUUUCUUACAAUGUGAAGAUAGUGGAGGGAAAGAUAGAACAAUUUUUGUUUUUAUAACAUUGAAAAAUGUGUAUCAUUUUUAUAGUUUUAGAAAGUUACCAUUUUAAUUGCAAUUCCCCUCUUGAUUCACUAUAAGUAGGCUAAAUUUUUACAUUUUAUUUUUAACAUAAGCAUUUCAAAAAAACAAUUGAGUUGAAGUACAUAUAAAGAAAUUCUUGCUUUCUAGGGAGUCAGUAGAGUAGGGGUUAAAAUAUAUAAACUAGGAGCAAAAAGAUGCAGAUUUUUUUACACAGUCCUCCAACUUCUCCAUCAAUCUCUGUCCCUACCACAUUUUUUUGUGGCCUUUAGAACACGGUGGUGUAAUAGGUGCAUAUAUUUAAGUCUUAUUUUCUUCAUAUGGCGAUGACAAUGAUCUGCUUAGUCUCUUGUCACAUACCUGUUUUGAAGAUCCAAGGAGACGAUGAAGGUAAACUUUUUAGAAAUUAUUAAGUAAAAACAGGUAUAAAAUAUUAUAUAGCAAGAACAUGGUGAUAUAUAGCAGCAGUUCCAUAAAAGAUAGUAAAGACAGGUUGAUUAGUAAUUGCAUAGUAGACUGUCUGGCAAUAUUGGGUAUAAUACUUUCUGUUAUUUUUUCUCAUCUAUAAAAUGGGGAUACUAAUAUUUAGUUCAUAAAAUUGUGAAAGAAAGUGAGUAUGCUAAGUAUUUAUCAGACAGUACAUGAGACUUUGUCACUAUCCUAGUAAUGAUAUGUAAGAGAAUAAUAAACCAGUUAUCAUACACAAAGAUUUCAUGCUAGACUAAUUGUAUGCACCAAUAUUGGAACUUUUGUACAAUUGCCUUGGGCUCCUCUUCAUCUAAUUAUUUUUUGGAGAUCUUUGGUUAUAGAUUAGCUUAUACUAUAAAUAUUUUAUUAUCAUUAAACAAUAAAGUAAAUGAUAGCAGGCACCCAUCACAAAUGUUUAACAAAUGUUUUGGCUUAAUUUUAAAGUCUUCCAGCAGGUUUGAAUAGAGGUUUGAAUAGAGGUUCAUAUAUAUAUAUAUAUAUAUAUAUAUAUAUAUAUAUAUAUAUAUAUAUAUAUAUAUAUUUAUUUUAAAAUUAAAACCCUUUUUUAUUUGGUAAGGAUUUAUUAUUUAGAAAAAAUAAACUGGGAACUUGUCAAAAAUAGUUUCAGAGACUUGAUUUUGAGGGUCUGAUUCAUGUCCUGGGAAUUAGUGUUUAAAGAUAUCACCAGUGAUGCUGACAUAAGUAAUUUCACUUUGAGAACUAUUACUCUCCUGUAUGUCAUCUUCAUGGAGGUGAUGACAGUAAUAUAUAAUUGCAACUUUUCAUUGUGCAUAUUUUACAGAAUAAUCUAUGAUAUCUGCAUUUUCUCCUAAAAGGCUUCCUUUUGUUAUACUGUUAAGGACAAACAGAAAAUAUUUUGGAUUCAAAUUAUUUGAUUCUGUUGAAAUUAUUUUAUUAACAGAAUGAAUCUCAGCUAUCAUAACACUAUGAAAGACUUAGAAUUUUCAGACUUUAAAAUAAAUAAAUCUAGGAAGUAUAUAUUUGUGCAUUUUGAAUUGCUCUAUUUUGUGUUGCUGAUUUAUUUUCCAAUUGCAUUUCUGACAUUUUUAAGAGUGGUCAUGAAAAUAGGAAAUGAAAAAAUAAUUAGCUUUGCAUACUUUCCAUAGAUAACAUAAAAUCCCUGAGGAUAUUUCUAGUGUUUGUUUUAUUUGUUCAUUGUCUGAGUUGCUUGCAUAAUAUACUUCCAGUUUGAUUGCCAACAAUCAAACUAAUUUUAUUGAUUGGUGUGUGGCUCAUGCUGUCCUAAGUUGAGUAUUUAUGUUAAUCAAAUAUGUUCUUUCUAAAUAAUAAAGAUUUACCAAAUAAAAAGAAAGUUGUUUAUUUAAAUGUGUCUGUAUAAACAUAAGAUUAAGACAUACUGGAAAACUUUAGAUCAAGCCAAACAAUUUGUUAAACAAUUGAGAUGAAUGCUCCUAAUCAUGUACUUUAUAACUGAAAUAAUAACAUAUUUAUGAUAUUAAUAAGGAUAGAUUUAGUACAUACUAGGUGCCAUUUACACAUAAAGAUUUGUGAGGUGGGUACUGUCACCUAUGGAUGGUUGAAACUGAUGUUCUGAGAAACUGAGUACUGGGCCAACCAUUACACAUCAUAUAAGUGAUAGGAAUUGAGUCUGUAUAAGUUUGUCAGAUUUUCAGAAUUGAAAAUUGAAAUGAUAAACCAAUAAUUUGAUGUCGGAAAUUAGAGUAGGUUCUAAAUGUUUAAAGAAGAAUAGUUUUACAAGUCAUCAAUGAUGGAAUAAAACAUUUCUCAUUCCAUAUGGAAGGAAAAUUUAAAAAAAACCUAAAAACAUUCAUUUAUUUUCCUUUGGAAAUCUAAACCAAUCUUCUCAGUAAACACAUGCAUUCUUAAUAAUGGUCCUUGCACAUUGAAUGUUACCAGGAUGACAGAAACCGACCAAAGUUAUCAACAGACACAGGCAUAGGAAAAAAGGUUCUUUAAAUUUACCUCUGCAGGAAGAUGGUUCCAACCUAAAGCAAAGAGCAGAGCAGCAGCAGUUUAACUGAAAGUUUGGCUUUCCUGGACUCUGCACUUGCAUUGGAGGUCACACCAGCUGCAAAGGAUGCCUUUGAUUAGGGUGAAAAUCCUAUCAGAUCACCUGAGAAACUAAGCCUAGAUUUGCUUCUUUUUCUCUUGUGGAUACUUCUGGCUACAUAUAGUGCUGUGUCUGCUGCUUAUCACAAUUACAGGCAACUCAGAGAGCAAGUGUGGGGGUGUUUGUAAGCUAAGUGAAUAUGCACCUGGGGAUAUACAUAUUCAAGUCUUUCUACAUAUCUAUCACAAUUACAAAUUUGGGAGUAAAUUAGGUCUUUCAUAGCAUUCCUGUGUGAAGACUUUAGGGUAGAGAGAAUCAAGUUUUGCAUUUUUCACACAAAGAACCACAUUUCAGAGCUUAUUUCCAUUCAUGUCAAAUUAUCACAUUUUGGAAGAUGAAUAUGAAAAUUGCAGUUGAUUGAGAUAUUCAGUCUUUAUUUAUAAAUGUUUUGAAUUUUGUUAAACUUCUAACAAAAUCCAGAAAAAUCUGUUUUGUUAGUUUAUGAAGAAAAUUUGAGAAGAGAUAAAAAAUGAGAUUAUUAAAGUGAAGAGGAUUGUGUUUUUCUGAGUACAUUGAUGGUAUGCUUAAAUUUGGGAAAAGCAGCCCAGGUAGAACAACAACAACAAAACCCCAAAUAUUCAGUUUUAUUUUGAGAAUUUCCCUAUACCUGUGGAUUUUGAGAAUGUUCCUACAUCAGGCAGGCAAGCAAACAGGAAGGGAAGAAGAAAUAAAGUGAAGAGUAGAUAGAAACAAGAGUUGAUUCCAAAGAUGAUUUGUAUUUUAGCAGUACAUGACAUGGCUAAGAAACAGAUCUUGGUAAAAUAAAAAAAGUAACAUGAUAUUAUCACAUAAUUUAGAAAUGUGCUUCCAAAAAGGUCAAGUUAAAGAAUAUAGUAUCAGAGAGAAAAUAUUUUAGGCUAAUAAAUAGGUCCUAGGUGUUGCCAUGGAAAUGUGGAACUAAAAGUUAUUGGAGUUUUUUCAAACAAAAAGAAACAUUGUGAAAUAAUGAGCUAGUUUUGGGUUAAAAAAUUAUCAAGUGACAGUAAAACUAAAGGUAAAUAAGAAAACAGAAAACCAGGUGCUAAAGUUGUAAAUUCAUUAAAAGUGACUAUUUUCGUUUUUCCUUUAUUAAAAUAAAGUAUAUAUAGGAGAAAAUGCAGAAAUUAUUAAAACAUUUUAUUUUUUUUCAAGGAAUGUGGUUUUUUAAUUUUUUUUUCUAUUUUUUGGAACUAAAUGAAAAUAUUUAUUUAUUUAUAUAUAAUUUCUCAUUUUUUGAGUGUACAGGUUGCAGAAUUGCAUUGGUCAUGCAGUCACAUAUAUUUAAAGUCAAUAUUUUUUAGCAAACCUUAGAUUCAAAAUACUCUAAUACAGAGUGCCCAUUUAAAUGAUUCAGUUAUAAUAAAUCAGGGAUUUACAUAGUCUUAAGUCUCUUCCUCCUGGAUCCUUCCAUUUAAUAUUUUCCUUAGUGUAUUUUAUUUUUUGUAGUACUACAGAUUAAACCCAGGGGCAUUCUGCUACUGAGCUCUAUCCCUAGUCCUUUUUAUUUUAUUUUGAGAUAGAGACUGUAAAUUGCUGAGACUGGUCUAGAACUUGUGAUCCUCCACCCUUAACUUCCCUAGUUUCUGGGAUUAUAGAUGUGUUCCACCAUACCCAGUGACCAAAUUAUUUUAAAUGAACCAAAAGUAGAGGUAAUAUUUCCAAAUGAUUAUAAUAUAAUUUAAUGCAAGUUAAUAUUAAAUUUAUGCAAAUAUGAAUGCAUGCUACAAUUUUUGAUCUUUAGGUUAUAGAAAUUGGUUUGUGAUGAGAUUUAUUUGCUUUGUGUACUUAAAUAAUUUUUAAUUGAAAUGUGAGAAUAUAAAAUUUCCAUCAAUAUUUUAAAAUCAAGGAACACCAGUAGGGUUAUGUCCUUGAGGAAUAUUUAAAGAAUUUUCGUGCUCAUUGUUUUCUAUGAGGACACAUAAUAAUGAGCAAAAAAUAAUGGUUUUCUCUCUUAAUAUGAACUAAAGAGAAAGGGUUCACUAUAAAUACAGGCCACUACAAUGAAUCUCCAAAACAAAACAAAACAAAAGAGUUCAUUCAUUUAUGUUGGGAGCCAUUAGCCAAAUAGGUAUGACAAUUUCCUUGCCAGCUUACCCCAUGUUGCAGUGACAUUGCUUAUAGGUGACCUUGCUCAAGGACCAGGGCGGAUUAGGGUGUUCCCGGUUUAGGAUAAUCAGGUUUAGGGCGUUCCAGGUUUAAGAUUAUUCCUGCUGGGAAUAGGGCGUAUCCUGCUGCCUGAGUUCCCCUUGAGUUCUCACGGGAUUCAGACAGUAUAUUUUGGGACACAGAAGCCCAGUGGUGGUGGAUUUGGGCAGAGAACGUGGAUUUCCCCAGAACGUGAUUGUAGACGGCUGGUGUGAGUUCGGGAAUAAAGAGUUGCUGUUUGGAUCUACAAGCUGUGUGGUGGCUCGUGAUUGUGUACCCAGCCAGACUGCGGCACAUUUAUUUAUUCUGUCAUGUUAUGAAAAUUUACUGAGCAUUCAUUAUAUGAAACUCUCAGGCAUUAUGAAUCAAGAGACACCCUGGAAAGAAGCUUUUAUUUCAUCAGGCUUAUGGUAAAAAUCUGAAUUUUUAGGAGAGAUUAAGUUAAUAUAAAAAUACAGCUAAUUUAAGAGGAAGAGUUUUAAGAAAACAUAACUUCAAUACAGAAAUAAAGACAUUUAGCUAUAUGUGGUACAAUAUGGUACACUGAAAAAGUAAAAAGAAAAAUUGUUAACAAGUAAAUAUACAUAAACACACCCACAAUUCAAGGGCAACAAGAUACUUGUAUAAAUUAUUAAGUAUCUAUGAUCUACCCUGAACUAAACUAGAAUGGCCUAUUUUUGAAAAUCAAGUAGGUUCCAAGAAACAUUUUUAAAGUGUUGCUCUUUGCAACUCCACAAAACAUAAAUCUUCGGAUUGUUUGGUACUUUAUUCAAUAUAAAUAUGAGUAUGUUAAAUGCACAAAACUUAUCUGAAAUAUUAUAGCAUCAAAAUAAAAUAUAGUCAUCAGAUAAGUACUUCCUAGAUGAUAAUUUUCUAGGGAUAGUUUUUGGGAAGAUAUUUAAUUAUCCAUGAAACUGAUCAGUGUUUCAUUUUUCAAUGGAGUUCAAAUGUCUUAAUGAUAUUUUCUAUUAAGAUUUAAUUUAAAACAUUGUAAUUAGUUUUAAAUGAUGUUUCGAACAUCUGAAAAUCUUCCAAUAACAGUAUCUUUGCACUUGAAUGAGUGAGAAUGCAAAGCUUUUGGAAUAUGUUAGGGCUGUUUCUUUUCAACUGCAUUAUCAAGCAAGGGAAGUUGCUGGAUACUAUUUUUGAUUAUAGUGAUUAGUAUUAAUUGUGACAAUUAUUAAAUUAAUUGGCUUUGAAAUACCUGAAUAUCCGGUAGAAAACAUACAGUCUAUGACUUCUUUAUAUCUCCAAAUUGAUAUAGAAAUUUGAAACUAAAAGAACUGCUUAUCAAUGAUGCAAUUAAAAUAGGAGCUAAUUGUGUUUAAAAUUGUGUUGAGCAAAUUUUGAUGAUAAAUGGCAACAUAUCCAAGAAGCUAAUGUUCUCUGAUUAACCUGACGCUUUGACUUUUGCCGGACACAAGGACAAUUAGAAGAUUACAACCACAUUUGGUAGUAAUUACUGGUGAAUUUAUACAUAGGGUGAUGCAGAGAAAGGUAAUAUUAGGGGGCAGUAACUAAUAAUUACUUUAGAUUGUAAAAACUGACCUGCUUGUACCUACUGCUCUGUCAAGGAUACCGAUAGGUUAAAAUUUUGAAUUGAACAUUUCCAGAAAUUAAUUAAUCAAUCUCCCAUGAACAUUUUAAAAAAGUAAAAUAAAAUAAAAACAUCAACUGAAACAUGCAAAUAAUAAUACUUAUUUACAGAAAUAGGCAUAUGAAAAUUUGAUCACAUCGAAGUACAGAUGUUAAGAAACAAUUGAUUAUUCCCAUUUUUUAAAGGGUCAUGAGAUGUAACAUGAAAAGGAAAAAUUGCAGCCACAUACCACUUGCAUGUGCCAUUUAAAAAGAUGGUUGUUUGGCAUGAAGAAAGGUUAGGAAAGCUUUUUCAUUUGUACCACUCACAAAUAGCUUCUAAAGCUGAAGAAGUGGGGAUUGUCUGUGUGUGUUAUGAUUUGUAUCUGGAAUAUCUCCCCAAAGCUCAUUUGUUGAAGAAUUUGUUCCCAGUACAGCAAAACCAGAGGUGGAACUUCAGAUGAAAUUAUGGGAUCGUGAGGGUACUGACUUCAUCAGUGGAUGAAUCAAUCUAUUGAUAACCGGAUGAUUUACAGGAAGAUGGAGGAAAUGGUAGGCAGGGAGGUGGGACAUGGUUGGAGGAAGUAGAUCACUGGGAGCAUAUCCUUAGGGACUUUAAUCUUGUCAGUGGCCCCUUCUCUCUCUGUCUCUGCUUCCUGUCUGCCUUGAGCAGAGCAGUUUUCUUCCACUGUGCCCUUCAGCCAUGAUGCUUUGACUCAGGCCCAGAACAAUGGAGUCAACCCAAACCUCUAAAACUGUGGUUCCAGUAAAUCUUUCCUCCUUUAAGUGGUUCUUUUCAGCAAAUUAAGUUGUUUGGUCACAACAAGGUAAAACUGACUAACUGUAUGUUUGUGUGUGUGUGGGGGGUGGUGGUUGGGGAGGCAUUCUCCUAUAACUCCCUGUUUCAAAUGAGAACACCAGCAGACUGUAUAAAUAAGUGGUCUUUAACCCCAAUUUAUUUACUUACUUUAUCAAUUUAUAUAUUUUUGUUUCUAUAUAUUUCUGUACUUGAGAACCAUUUUAUCUAAUUCCUCCUAUCUGUAAAUAAUUUGUUUUGUUUAAUAUGUUCCCUAGUAGUUGGCAUCUAUCCUUUCCAAAUGCAUAUGGUUGCUUUGUAUGCAUAUAGUUUUAAUUUAUGUAAGUGACAUUUAUUCUCUAUUUUAUUCCUUUUAAUUAAAUUAUUUUAUCAUGAGGACUAUGUUUUUAAGAUUUCUCCAUUUUCUUGGGCCUACAUUUAUUCAGAGGGUUUGUUACUGUAUAAUUUCCCCCGGCAUAUAAAUCCACCAUGGUUUAUCUAUCCACCCUCCCACUGAAUGACAUUAAACUUGCUUCCAAGUCUUGCUGCUACAAGUAACACUUAAGUGCAUAUUCUUGAAUGUGUUUCCUCAUAGGCCAUAUGUGUUGUUCUUUUAAAGUUGCUGCUUCAUAUGGUUUUUAUAUUACUUGCAUAAGUAAUGUAUCAUUUUUCAAGAUGGUCACAUCAGUCUGUAUUUUCUAGAACAUGUGGGAAUAAAAGUAUCACCAUGAAAAUUUUGUGGAACAAGAUUGUCAGCACAAAAUACAUUUUCAAUUCUGUAAAUUUGCUGCUAAUGAACUGAGCCCAUUUUUCUAAUGAGAAUGUUCUCUUGUUUAUAUCAAGAAUUCCUUGUAUGUUCCAGAUAUUAAUUCCUUUGUUGGUAUUAGACACUGUGAUAAUGCUCUUUUAUAUAAUAUUUGGGUAUGAAUUCUAUGAAAUCUUUGGAAAAUAGAUUUUGUAUAUUCAAAUUAUUUAAAUUUUUAGACUCAGGUUUAGCUUUUAAAACUGUUUUUUUGUUUGUUUUUUUUAAGGAUAGGCUUUCUCUGCCUUAGAUCAUAAUGCUAUUGUUCUUUGUUUUCCUCAAAAUUUUAUCUUUCAAAUUUAAAUCUUAAUUUAUCUGAAUUCUAUCUUCUUAAACAGGGAUAAUUUUUUUUUAACUACAUAGAGUGAACAACUUUUCUAAGAUCCAUUUAUAAGAAAAUAUGCUCUCUCUCUUGAGGUAUAUGUCCAGGAAUGAUUAACAGAAUAGGCAAAGUCCCACAUUUUCAGGUCAAGAAUCAAAUAAAAAUGCAAGAAUUCUUAUUACAUAGUGAUACAAUUACUUAAUCUCAAAAGGAAAAACUAAAAAAAAAUAAUAAACAAUGUUCAAUUUCAUGAUAAAACACAAUAUUUAAAUACUACUCUAGAAGAAACCAUUUUUUAUUUUUAUAUUGGGAAAUAAUUAAAAAGAUGAUCAUACCUUGUGCAGUUUGGAAGGUGUGACAUGAAUGGCACUCUCAGGGUAGUGUUACGGAAGUAAUAAAUUGAGACAAAAUUUCAGGAAGAUAUCUCUUUAAUAUUAAAGAUAUUUUUAUAUUUAUAGUGGCCAAUCCAGAAAUUGUACUUCUGAAAUUUUAAAAGAGGAGAUCCUCAAUGAAGGAUUGAUUUUAUAUAUUAUGCAAAUCACAUAAUGGAAUAUCAAGUAACUAUUAAUUUACAUGGGCAUUAAUGUUCUAUGCUCUUUAUUUUGUCUUGAUUAAUAUUUAAUCAAACUCUUUUUGUAUCAUAUACUGUGCAACUAUUGACGAAUGAAAUGGAUGUGAAUAUUAUUUGAAAAUACAUCUGAUGAAAUUAACAACUUAUCAAUAUCUGAUUAUGAAAGAAUGCAUAGUAUUAUAGUUUAAUAAAAUUUAUUUAUUAUCAUAGAAGUGAUAUUUGAAACUACUAAUUGUUAUUUUGUUUAUAAUAGUUCUCUCCCUAAGUGAGUUUUCUUUUUAUUCUUUAUUUUGUAUUGUUAUUUUAAAUGUACAUUUUUAGAACCAUAUAAUAAGACAAUUUCACUCUAAAGCAGGGCUUUGAUUUGUUCAAAAGAAAGAUUAUUGAAGGAAUUAAAAAUUAUUUUUUUUUUAAAAAAUCAAACCCUCUGUAUUUACUGAGUAAGCAUGUUUGUCAAACCAUUUAUAUUACUAAGACUGCUUGAACAUAAGAAAAUUCAUCUCAAAAUAUGUAAUAUGUAUUACUUCCGUUGUGUUAAGUUACAUAUGUUAAUUUUGAAAAAUAACUGAAGAUGUGUCAUAUUAUAAAAGAAGAAAAAGAUCAACACAUUGGUAUUUGGCAAUAGUGUUGUCUAGUGUUAUCAAUAGGUCAUUUGUAUUUAGUUAAAUGUUUCCUGUUGAUUAGGGGUAAAAAUAAAUCUUAAAACAUUUGUUAUGUGUGGAAACAUUUUAUAUAUCCAUCACAUGAAUUUUAUAAAAUGUGUAGUAGGUAGCAAAGUGAUCUAUUUCUUCAUAGCUUUUUAAAAAAUGAAACAAAUAAUCAUCAAAUGGACUUUUCUUUUAACAUUAAAUUGAAUUAAGAGAAUCUUUGAUUUACAAACUAUAUAGUCUUUCUAUAGGGACCUAAAAUAAUAUUUUCCAGUUAUAUUCUUUUCUGAUGAUCCAUCCUAAUGUGGGAAUAAACCUUAAAUAAUACAAACAAAUUGAUAGUUCACAAGUCCCUUAGACUGUUUUUCUUAAAUGUCAAAUAUCUCAGGUGAAUUUUGGGCUAAUGUUGAAUCAAAAUAAUUUUAUUGUUCAAUUCUCUGGAAGUGUUGAAGGGCAAAUGUUCUACAGCUUUGGUGUACUUAUUAAAUGAGUUCUAUGCACAACAUUUGCUUAAAAAUCCUAUUGUUUUUGGCUUAAUUGCUGUUAAGCUCUUCUGCAUCCAUCUAGCCUUAUUAUUUAGUAAGAGGGAACUCUAUAUGUUGGAAAUAAUUGAUUUUAGUGUUAGGAUAGAUUACAUACCUGGAUCUGCCUUUCACCAGGUAAACAGGCAUCAAUUUUCCCAGUGAUCAAAUCAGUAUACAGAUGUUCUUGCAAGAUUUCUAUAAGAAUUCAAUGAGUUAAUGAAAGUGACAUUCAGAAAGAAGUAGUCCAUUUAUGAAAACUGUUAUUAUUAUGCCUAUUUUGUAAUAUUGAAACCACAUCAUCAUUUUGUGGAUUUUUAUUCAUUAUUAUUUUCUUAAGGAAGGGACAUGAUUGCUAUGAUAGAAACUACAGCUGGGUCCAGUGGUGCAUGCCUGUAAUCCCAGCGGUUCAGAAGGCUGAGACAGGAUGAUAGCGAAUUUAAAGCCAGCCUCAGCAAAAGUGAGGCACUAAGCAGUCAGUGAGACUUUGUCUAUAAAUAAAAUACAAAAUAGGGCUAGGGACGUAGCUCAUUGGCCAAGUGUCUCUGAGUUCAAUCCCCAGUUACCACCCCUACUCCGACAAGAAAAAAAGGGCUGGGUCUGGGCUCAGUGGUAAAGCAUUCCUGGUCUAAAAUCUUCACUAUCAAAAAAACAAAUACAAAACAAAACAAAACAAAAAAACCACAAAUUGCUUACCUAGUUUUCAUUCUCUCCAUUUAAAAAUAUUUUUUUAUUUGUUUUAAUUAGUUAUACAUGACCGUUGAAUACAUUUUGACACAUCCUACAUAAAUGGAGUAUAAAUUCUCAUUGGUUUGGUUGUACAUGAUAGAGUUACACAGGUCAUGUAAUCAUAUAUGCACAUAGGACAAUAAUGUCCAAUUCAUUCUACUACCAUUCCUGCCCUCAUGCCACAUCCCCUCCCUUCACUCCCGUAUGUCUAGUCCAAAGUACUUCUAUUCUCUACCCCACCUACCUUAUUGUGAAUUAGCAUCUGCAUAUCACAGAAAACAUUUGGCCUUUGGUUCUUUGGGGUUGACUUGUUUCACUUAGCAUAAUAUUCUUCAGUUCCAUCCAUUCACCAGCAAAUGCCAUAAUUUCAUUCUUCUUUAAAGCUAUGUUCCAUUGUGUAUAUGUACCACAUUUUCUUUAUCCAUUCUUCUGUUGAAGGGCACCUGGGUUGGUUUCAUAGUUUAUUUGAGCUGCUAUAGACAAUGAUGUGACAACAUCACUGUAGUAUGCUGAUUUUAAGUCCUUUGGGUAUAAGCUGAGGAGUGAGAUAACUGAGUCAAAUGGUGGUUCCAUUCAAAGUUUUCUGAGAAAUCUCCAUACUGCUUUCCAGAGUGGCUGUACCAGUUUGCAGCCACACCAGCAACGUGUAAGUGUACUGUUAUGGCAGGAUUGCAAGAAAUCACUGGGCCAGUCUUGCAGCAGGACAUGAAACAGUUAUUCACCAGCUGAAAUUUCGGAUUCACCAGCUGGAGGGGUAAGGGGCAGGCGGCAAGUCUACACCCUUCAACACCCUCCAGAGGUUAGAGGAAACAUUUUAUAGUUGAAAACCACAAGUAAAGCAUGUCAGUACAUUAAUCAUAAGUGGUUGUUGCUAUGAUUUAAAAACCAUAAAAAAAUCAUGAGAUCCAAAAUUAUAAGCAGAAGGGGAGUAGGUCAAAAUGACCCUAGCUGAGUAUAAGUUAAAGAAUGGUUACUAACAUGUAGACAAUCAUUAACGUUUUAUGCAGUUAGAAUACAUUGCACAAGUACAGUGGAUAAGAAUUGAAGGAACGAUUUUGUCAUUUAGUGUUGUCAAUAUGCUAUGCUAAGCAAUUGUUGGUAGGUACAGAGGUGGGGUUUUCCCAUAAGAGAAGCAUUUCUUACAUAACAUGGAGUCUCAAGGUAAAAUGGAGUCUGUUUGGUCACUGCCCAUAUAACCUGGCCCAUAACAUACUACUUUCCACAGUGGUUGCACCAAUUUGCAGUCCCACCAGGCAUGUAUGGGUAUGCCUUUCCCUACACAACUUCACUAACAUUUAUUGAUAAUUGCCAUUCUGACUGGAGUGAAUUGGAUUCACAAUAUAGUUUUGAUUUGCAUUUCUCUAAUUGCUAGAGAUGUUGGACAUUUUUUCAUAUAUUUAUUAAUCAACUGUAUUUCUUCUGUGAAGUGUCUGUUCAGUUCCUUUACCCAUUUAUUGUUUGUUUGUUUGUUUUGUAGUGGUAAGUUUUUUUGAAUUCUUUAUCCUCCUGGAGAUUAAUGCUGUAUCAGAAGUGUGUGUGGUAAAGAUAUUUUCUCAUUCUAUAUGCUCUCAAGUAAUGAAAUAGAGGACUCCAUUAAAAGCCUACUACGAAAAGCCCAGGACCAGAUGAAUUUGUGGCCAAGUUUUAUGAGACCUUCAAAAAAGAAUUAAAACCAAUACUUCUGAAAUUAUACCAUGAAAUAGAAAAGGAGGGAACCCUUUCAAACUCAUUCUGUGAAGCUAGUAUCACUCUGAUACCAAAACCAAGCAAAAUCAAAGAAAACACAUAAAGAAAACUUCCCUUAUUAAUAGAAAAAGUUUUGAGUUCAGAAUGAUAAGGAGCUUAAAUUAAAGAGAGAUUUUGUAUCUUCUUUUAUAGAUAGUGGGAAACAUUUAUCUUGUAGUUCUGGUUUUUGUUUGUUUUUGUUGUUUUGAGAGUGGUUUUUGCUAAGUUGCCCAGACUGGCCUGGAACUCACAAUUUUCUUGCCUCAGCCAACUGAAUAGCUGGGAUUAUAGGUGUGCAUCACUGCUCCGGGCUAACUCCUUGUCAUGAAUGUGGAUGAUAUUGGUUCUAUAAGACUUUUUAUACAUUUAGGUUUCGGUUAUAUCUAGAUGAACACUAUGUCCAACUGAUGGCAAAUUUGGUUAGGAAGAAUGAAGAUUUUAUAAGUAUCCAAAAUAUACCUUGCAUAAUGUGAUUGGGAUGGGAUCUGGGAAGGAACCUACUAAUUGUGGAUUGGAAACCUAUUGACUCCUGGACACCUGAUAUGCAUCAAUGAAAAUCUGGUCAAAUCAUUCUUCUUGGGGUGGAAACCUACUGAUGACUGAGGUCAUAAUUAUGAGGUAAAUGGAAGAAGAGACUGAGAAUAAUGGAUACUUCUUGCUCUUUUCUAAGGAGUAUUGUAAGAAAAAACAAAACUAAAAUGAGAGGAAAUAAUUCUAUCCUAAAAGUCAUUUUUUUGUAGCCAGUAAUCAAAAUUGACUGAGAGAUCCACAAUUUGCAGUUUGAAAGACUGAUAAUACUAUAGGUUGUCAAAGUUAUUAUGGAGUUUUUGAAGCUGAAACCUUAACAGUGUGCAAUAAUGAAGCAAUAGGCUUUUCUGGAGUACUGUUCUUUCUUUCUUUCUUUUUUAUUUGUUCUUUUUAGACAUACAUGACAGUAUACUAUAUUCUGGUAUAUUAAACAUACACAGAGUAUAACUCAUUUUAAUUAAUAUCUCAUUCUUGUAGAUGCACACAAUGGUGAGAUUCACUGUGGUGUAUUCACGUAUAUACAUAGAAAAUUUAUGUCCAAUUUAUUCCACUGUCUUUCCUCCCUAGUCCUAUCCCCAACUCCUUCCUUUCAUUCCCCUUUGUCUAAUCCACUGAAUUUGUGUUCUCCACUGAAUGAGCAGGAGAGCACAACAGAAAGACCUAUUUUUCAGAGUGGCUUUAUUACAGCAGCCAUCAAGCUGAAAGUCUGGGGAGAGACAGAAUGCAGAAGUCAAUAGACAAAGAAUGACAUCUUCAGCCUUAAAGAUUACAUCUAGACAAAUUCUUGGGCUGUGGGUUCAUAUAAUUCAUCAGAAACAAAUAACUGUGUCCAUAGAAAGAUGCAAAAACUCACUGUGGUGCACUUAGACUAUUUUCAAAGAAACAGCUAUGAGUAGCUGUGACACAUGUCACUCUAGGGUCUUCAGUUUCUAUCCACAAUCUCUUUCCCUUGUGCUUCAAGAACCACAAAGCUCUGGAGAAAGAAUUAGUUGUAGAAUGAGGUUCGUGAGGAACAGAACUGUGACUGCAUACCAAUAGAAAUGUGGUUGAAAAUACACAAGACUUUGCCAUUGUCUAAUCCAAGAUUUUGAGGUCCUUUUAGCCCAGCAUUAUCUAGCUUGACUCUACAUAAGGCCUUAUUGCUUUUGAGAAGCCAAAAGAAUAUUCAGAUAACAGUAAAUGACCUAUUGCCUCAGUUAUUGCACAUAGGCAUGUGCAAUAUGGAAAUGAUUUCAUACCAUCCAAAAAGGAAGGAAGCACAAAGGGAAAAAAUGAAAGGCUGAGAAUAGAAAAGAAAUGACAAAAGUCUGAAUAAGGCACAGGGAGCAUAAAAAAUUUUUAGGAAUGGUGUAAAUGUAAGGAAAUUUCACAGGGUCGAUAGCACUCUGAAGUUAAUUUUUUAUGUCAACUUAGCUGGGCUAUGACACUUAGUUAUUUGACUAACACCUAUCUUUGUGUUGCUGUGAAAGCGUUAUUUAGAUAAGAUUAAUGCUUAAAUCAGUAAACUUUGAGUGAGGCAGAUUAUUCCUCAUAGUGUGAACCUCAGCCAAUAAAUUGAGGGACUUAAAAACAGAGAUUGAGGGCUCUUGAAGAGGAUGGCACUUUCCUCUAGACUGUCUUUGGACUCAAAACAUGUAAAAUCAGUUCUUGAUGGAAUUUCCAGCCUGUCACACUGACAGUGCUAAUUUCUGUUAUCUGGAGAAUCCUUAUAAAAGCAAGCAUGUUAACAGCUUAGAAUACUGACCUGUGGAGAGAGUUUUUGGCCUUCAACCCCUAGGUCUUAAGAUGUUAACACAAAUGCGAAUGUGUGUGUGUGUGUGUGUGUGUGUCCAUCAUACUCUGGUGUAAUUCAAACCUAAAUAUAGGAAUUGUGAUUUAGAUGGAGUAAACAGGAGAGUGAGUAUAAGCCCUUUCUAACAAUGAUGCCUGGAAUGUUUAUUUCCACAAACCAGAUGGAAUGAUUCUGCUAAUACUAUUAGUUUAUUGGAAAUACAUAGUAAAUGGGAAAAGAUCAUUUCUAACUGGGUAAGCAUGAAGCAUGAUUCUUCAAUUUUGACAUCCUAACCAUUAAUUUCUUUGCCACUACUAUUUGGUGUAACUAAGGUUUUCUAAAUUUGAGAGAAUUAAAUGCAAAUCUGCCUUCUGUGAAGCAAUGACUUCAAAAUGAAAACAUAUUUGGGAAUGCAAUUUGGAAACUUUAAUUGAUAUAGUGAUUAUGAAAACCAGUUGGUUAGAAAAAAGAAAUUAAUUGGGACAUAAAAAUUUACACAAUUUUAAAAAUGCUUCCAUCAACCUAAGUUAUGUAUGUUAAAGGAAAAAGAGUAAUUGAACUAGAAAAGAAUCAUCAAAAGAUUUGUGAAAUGGUAUGGCUGCAUUGUACAUGUUUUGUAGAGCACAUUCUUAUUAUCUAUUGAAUAUCUUAAUAUUAAAUUCUGCCCAUCUUUGAUGUGGUAGUAGGUUGUUUUCAUUUUUUAAGGUGGAGGUAUCUUUUUGUCUUUUGGUACUAGGGAUUGAACUCAGGGGCCCUUGACCACUGACCCACAUCCCCAGCCCUAUUGUGUAUUUUAUUUAGAGAAAGGUUCUCACUGAGUUGCUUAGUGCCUCAUUUUUGCUGAGGCUGGCUUUGAACUCAUAAUCCUCCUGUCUCAGCCUUCUGAGUUGCUGGGAUAAUAGGAGUGCACCACCACACCCAGCUGUUUUCAUUUUUUAAAUAAAAUGUUUUAAGAGAAAUUACAAAAAGAUGACUGAGAAGUAUGAAUCCAGACGAAAGUAACAAAAGUCAAAGUGUGAAUUAAGGGAAAAAAAGUGAUAGCAUCUUCCCUUCUGUUAUGGUUUGGAUAUGAGGUGUUCCCCAAAAGCUCAUGUGUGAAACAAUGCAGAAGUUUCAGAGGAGAAACUAUUGGAUUGUGAGAGUUUUAAACUGAUCAGUGAAUUAGGAUUAACUGAGUGGUAAUUAGAUGCAGGUGGGCUGUAGCUGAAGGAAGUGGUUAAUUUGGGGCGUGGCUAUAGGGUAUAUAUUUUGUAUCUGGAGCUGGAGUCUCUCUUUCAGCUUUUUUACCACCUCGUGUAAGCUGCUUCCCUCUGCCACACCCUCUGUUGUCAGAUGUUGUGUCUCACCUUAAGCCCUGAGAAAUAGAGCUGGCCUUCUCUGGACUAAGAACUCUGAAACUGUGAGUCCUCAAAUAAACUCUUCCUCCCCUACUAUUGUGCUGGUCAGAUCCUUUAGUUACAGCAAAGAAAAAGCUAGUCCAAACACUUCUCUUUUCUGGAAGAUGACACCUUAGAGAAAGAAAGGUGGUUUGGUUCAAUUUAAUUGUCCACAUGUGUCAAGAUAUGCGACUAAAUCAGUUAGGGUCACUCCAGGUGUAUUUGGGUUGGCAUGAAAUAAUUACACACAGAAACAGAAAGUACCUUUUUCUUAGGGUCUAGUGAGGGUUCUCAACAUUAGGGAUCCAUUGUCAAGAGAGAGCUUGCAUCUGGAUUCUUUAUUUUAUAGGGGGCACACAAAGGGAGGUUCCAUGGAAUGUUCUUUUCAAAUAAGGCAAAGGGUCAGGUUUCAGGGAGUUGAGUCUAGCUUCCUGAAGUCUUCUGGUCAGUAGAUUGAUUGACAUCUUGGCAAGUCACACAGAUCUCAGGUGCUGUGUGGGAUCAAAAGGCAAAGCAAGCAAAAAGGACACAUAGGUAGGUGCACAGCCCAGACAGAGCAGCAAUGUCAGUCCAGUCCACUUGUGUGCUUAAAAUGCUCACAGCUCUCUCUCUCUCUUUCUCUCUCUCUCUCUCUCUCACACACACACACACACACAGCGCCCAUGGCUGGCCCGUGACACACAUGCUUUCAUUAUGCCUUUGAAUCUUAUUAGUAAUGCUUUGAAUCUUUUCUUUGGUUUUCAGAUUUUUCUUUUGUUUUCAGUUUCUGGGCAUGGCAUUCUUUCCAGGUAUAUUAAUUGUAUGUUCUAGUAUUUAAUAAAUACAUGGUGAGAUAUUUUAGUUUUGGAAAAUUCACAUCUAUUAUUUCAUCAAAUAUUACUUCCUCAUUUCUCUUCUCUUCAAUACUUUGAAAAUAAAACAAAAUAUUUCAAAAAAUUCCAGUUGUUUCUGUUUUUAUUAUGCCAUAUAGCACAACUUUAUUGUAGCACAUAACCUCAUCCUCCUCUGUCAUCUCUAUUUUUUCUUAUAUUCACAUUUCUUCUAGCUUCAUUAUCUUCUUUGUCUUCUCCUAUCCAACCUCUUAAAUUCUCUGAAAUAUUUGAAACAAUUCAUUUAUACAUGUGGUACUGGGAUACCCUAAGUCUCUACAAGUGAGGUGAACUUACUCUUCUCAAAAUGCUGUUUAGUAUCCUCAUUAAAACAAAAACCACAAAAAGUAGGGUUGCCAGAUUAGGCAAUUAAAAACACAAAUUGUCAAGUUAAAUUUGAAUUGGAUAAACAAGAGAUAAUUACAAUGUUUGGCAUAUACUCAUGCUUACUGAAGCUUCUUGUGUUUUAUCUAGAAAUUCUAGCUGUAGAUUUUCAUGCCUGAACUACAGUACCAAGCUGCUAAUGAAAGCUAGAUGCCAUAGAUUGGAAUCUUCUGUGUGUAAGCUUCAAAAUAAAGUGAAUGUCAAAUGCUUCCUCUGUCAAGUGAGGAUUAGAAUGAGAUUUGUUUAUAAGACUGUUCUGAGUCACAAAUAUUACUAUACAUGAAAAGUACUUUGCAUUAUAAUUGAUAUAUUAUAAAUGUUUAAUAUACAUUGUUAUUCUUGGAGAAAGUAAAGGUAACAGCUUGCUCAUUUAAUCUUUAAUAUUGGAAGUGGACAAAAUGAGCCAUUAUUACUUAGAUUUUGGUAUACGUAUUUAACUUAGAUUUGGGGAAUCUCAUUAUUUGCUCAAAUUAUUAAAGGAGUUACUCAGAUUCAAGUAAUAAAUCUUUUGAUUAUGUUACAUUUAUUGGUAAUUUUUUCUCUGGUCAGUUGAGAUUAUAGAGGGGUUACAACUAUUAAGUAGGAGGCAGGAAUAUGGACAGGACAUAUUCAAUUGUAAUAGUAUAUUUACAUAAGAAUAAUUAUGAAUGAUUGGCAUGAAAGAAAUGUGCAUAUAAUUUCAACAUUAAAAGAAUUAUCUUCUGUUCAUUUGUUAAAAGUGUUUUAUAAAAAUAGUUUUAUAAACUAUUAUAUUAAUGAUUACUUGAGCAAAAAUUUAUAUAGCACUUAUUGCCCAUUGCCUUAAAAGAUCAUCUUAUUCAGUUUUAGCAAUGGAUUUCUGAGUAAGAAAGUGCCAAUUAUCCUUCCUAUAUUCAAGAUGAGGUAAAUAACGCUGUAAGAGGUUAAACAGCUCAUAGAAGGAAACUAAAUGGAAGAGUAUUAAUUCAAGCUGAAAAUUCAUGCAUUUCCAGCUUUUAUUAUUCUACUGCAAUUCCUUUAUACUUAUCAUGGGGAAGAUUUUAAAUCAUCCCACAAAAGUCUAUUUAACUUACAAUGGAUUGAUUCAGUUUUUUUCAUGCUAAUUUUUCAAGGUAUUAAUAUUGUAAGGCCAACUAUAUCUUGGACUCUAAGAAACUCAGACAAUGGCUCAAAAUGGAGGAACAGAUGGAGUACUCCCUUGCUCAUUUUAAUUUCCAUAAGAGAAGUGACUAAGGCUUUCAAAGAAUCACAUUCUAAGAUUUGAGAUUUAGGAAUCAAAGACAAGUUCUUUUACUGAAGCAUAAACAUAACUAAAAUCUCUCGGAAAUUGUCUUUGUUCAGAGUGAUUUGACAUUCAUUGAAUAUAUAUGUGAAAAUAUAUAAGAAAACCAAAAUAAAUGUCUAUUUUAUAGAUGCAUAAGUUUAAGUGUAGAGGUAUAUUUUUGUAUAAAGAGACAUUUGUACAUGCAGAAGAAUAUAUAUGAUUAUAUAAAAUAUAUAUAUGUGAAUGUAUAUAUGAAUAAUAAAUAAAAAUAUAUGAAUAUUCAUAUAAAUAUAUGUGGAGUUAUAACACUAUUAUUUUCUUUUCAGGGUUUUGAUAGGCUUAGAAAAAAGUUUAGGGUCAGGUUUAGGAUAUGAACACAUAUUUUUUAAAAUGUGAAUAUAUUUAUGAGUCUGUAGGUGAAACUGUAAAUGAACACCAAUAUAAAUCUAUGUGGUGUCACACAUAGAGAGAUUUAAGGUUAGGUGUUUUGUUACACAUUGGUUUAAAAAUAGGGUAUGAACAUAUAAAUAAAUAUGCUUGAAUAGAUAUAUCAAUUUAUAUCUGAAACAAUGAAUAUAUACAUCAAAAAUAUAUUAAAAUUCAUAUGAUUAUACUUGGUCAAAGUAUAUGAAUAUUAAUUUAAAUACAUAUGUAUUCCUAUAAAAAUCAUUUUAUGUUCUAGGUAUUGUUAGGGUUAUACUAAGUUUCGGGACUGGAUCAGGGUUAGCAUUAUGGUAUGAACAUAUAUAUCAUAAAAUAUGAAUGUAUUAAUAUAUUGGUAAAAAUAUAAAUGGAAAUCAAUAUAAAUAUAUCUGGUAUUAUGAUAAAGAUUUAGUGUUAGCUGAAUAGUUAUACAGUUUUUUUGGGGGGGAUACUAGGAGUUGAACUCAGGGGCACUUGACCACUGACCCAUAUCCCCAGCUCUAUUUUGUAUUUUUUAUUUAGAGUCAGGAUCUGAGUUGCUUAGCACCUUGCUUUUACUGAGGCUGGAUUUGAACUCACAAUUCUCUUACCUCAACCUCCCAAGAUGCUGGGAUUACAGGCUUUCAAUACAGUGCCUGGCUGAAUUGUUACAUAUUAAAAUAGGGUAUGAUCAUUUAAGUAAAUAUAUACAUAAAUAUAUAAGUAUAAAUAUAAAUGUACUCAUAAAAAUUAUAAGAAAAUUCAAAAAAGUAUAUACAUGUAUAUUUAUUUAGCCUUAGGGUUGGUGGUGCUGGGCUGAGACUAAAAUUAGGGGUAGAGUUCAGGUGACUACUAGGGAAAAAACAUAUAUAUCAACUGUAUAUAAAUAUAUGCAUGAAUAUAUGUAAAAAUAUAUAAAAUAAUAAAAUAAAUAUGUAUGUUUUCAUAGAUGGAUAGUGUUAAGGUUAGAAUUAUGGUUAUAAUUCACUUUGAUGUUAGUACAUGUAAAUGAAUAUGUAUGAUUUUAUAAGAAUAUAUACAAAUAUGUACAUAAAUAUAUAAAUGAAUAUGUCAAAUAUAUAUGAAUAGUCAUAUAACAAUAUAUAGUUUUACAUAAAUAUUUUUAUCUAUUGAGGUAGUGUUAAGAUUAGGAAUAAGUUAAAAGAGUCAGGGUUAGGGUUAGUAUAUGUAUAUAUAUCAUAAAAUAUAAAUAUAUCUAUUAAUAUGUUGGUGAAAAUAUAAAUGAAAACCAACAUAAAAUAUCUGGUGCAAUAAUAUCUUGCAUGAUAAUAGAGAAGUUUAAGAUUAGGUUACAUUGUUUUUUCUAUCAGGGCAUUGUUAGUUUUAGGAAUAAGUUAAGGGGUAGUUUAAGGGUUAGGGAAUGAACAUAUAUUUUAAAAUAUGAAUAUAUCUAUGAAUAUAUUGGUAAAAAUAUAAAUGAAAACCAAUAUAAAUAUAUCUGGUAUUAUAAUAGAGAGAUUUAACUUUAGAUAAGUUGUUAUAUAUUGGUGUAAAGAUUAGAUAUUAAUGUAUAAAUUAGUAUAUAUUAAUAUAUACAUGAAUUUAUAGGUAAAAAUACAAAUAUAUACAUCAAAAUAUGAAAAUUCAGAUGAAUAUGUACAGAUAUAUAUAUAUAUAUAUAUAUAUAUAUAUAUAUAUAUAUAUAUAUAUACAUAUGCAUUUAGAAUUAUGGUAGGCACUGGGUUAGGACAAAAUUUAUGGGUAGAGUUAUUUUAUGUUUAGGGAAUGUGUGUGUGUGUGUGUGUGUGUGUGUAUAUAUAUAUAUAUAUAUAUAUAUAUAUAUAUAUAUAUAAAGAUAUAUAAAGAUAUAUGAAUAUAUGCAUGAAUAUGUAAGUGAAAAUAUAUAAGAAAACAAAAAUAAAUAGGUAUGUUUUCAUUAAUAUAUAGGGUUAAAUUUAUGUAUAUGGUUAUAAUUUGGUUUAAAGAUGAUGUUAGAGCCUGUAAAUGAAUAUAUAUAAUUUUAAAAGAAUAUAUGUAUGAAUAUAUAUGAUUAUAUAAAUAAAUGUUUCAAAAAUAUAUCAAUAUUCAUAAAUACAUCUGUGAUUUUUAUGUGAACACAGAUUAUAUACGGAUAUUUUUAAGGUUAGGAAUAAUUUAAAGGUCAGUGUUAGGGUUCAUAUUUGGGUAUGAGAAAAUAUCUCAUAAAAUAUGAAUAUAUUGUAGAAAAUAUAAGUGAUAACAAAUAUAAAUAUAUCUGUUGUAAUAUAGUGAUUAGGGUUAUGUGAAUCUUUACAUAUUGGUAUAAAGGUGUGUAUGAACAUAUGAUUGAAAAUAUAUAAAUAUAAACAUAAAUGAAUAUGUCAAAAUAUAUAGAUAUCAAAUAUAUAUGAAAAUUCAAAUGAAUAUACCAUUUUAUAUUUAUAUGCAUUUAGCCUUAGGCUUGGUGCUGGUCUAGAACUAAAGAUGAGAGUAGGGGUAAGGUUAGGUUUAGGGAAUGAAUAUAUACAUGAAUAUAUAUAUGAAAAUAUACAAGAAAGCCAAAAUAAAUAUGUAUAUUUUCAUAGAUGAAUAAGUUUAAGCUUUGGUGUGUGGCUACUAUUUGGUAUAAAGAUGACAUUAGUACAUGCAAAUGAAUAUAUAUUAUUUUAUAAAUAUAUAUACAUAGGAAUAGCAUAUGAAUAUAUAAAUAAAUAUGUCAAAGGCAUAUGAACAUUUAUAUAAUUGUGCAUGGUAUUAAUGUUUUUUAUAUCAUGAAUUUUUUUAGGCUAAGGAAUAAGUUAAAGUUAGUGUUAGGGUUAGGAUGUGAAUGUAUAUAUUAUAAAAUAUGAAUAUAUAGGUAAAAUAUAAAUUAAAACCAAUGUAAAUAUAUCUAGUAUCAUACAUAGAAAUUCAGGGUUAGGUUUGUCAUUACAGAUUGGUGUCAAAUAGAGUAUGAAUAUUGAAAAUGUAUAUAUAUAUAUAUAUAUAUAUAUAUAUAUAUAUAUAUGGAGUAUUACGAUGGCAGAAUAGAGAAGGUCACAUAUUUAGAUUCAUGUUUAUGAAUAUACACACACACACGCACAUACAUUAUGUGUAUAAAUAGAUAAGAAAAUUAUAUAUAUUGUUUCACAGAUUAUCAGUUUAGGAUUAAGUGUAUCAUUAUAAUUAGGUUUAAAGACAUGAUAUGAAUAUAUAUAAGGAUAUAUUAAUAUAUACAUAAAAUUACAUGUAAAUAUUUAAAAUCCAUAUCAAAUAUAAGAGUAUUUAUAAUAUAUGUAUGUAUAUGUAUAUAUAUAUAUAUAUAUACAUAUACAUAUAUAUAUAUAUAUACAUAUACGUAUACAUACAUAUAUAUAUUAUAUAUCAAAACAUUCAUUGUUGGGGUUAUUGCUAAAUUUAGAAAUCAAUUUACUAUUAGUGUUAGGAUUAAGAACAUGUGCAUCAAAAUAUAUGAAUAUAUAUAUGCAUACACAUGUAUAUGAACAUAUAUAAGAAAAUGUAUAUAGACAUGUAUGUUUUAUAGAAUGAUAGGUUUGGUUUAGGCUCUAGUUUUAUGGUUACAGUUUGGCUUAAUAAUUAGGUAAAAACAUGUAAACAAUAAAUAUAAAUGAAUAUUUGAAAAUGUAUGUAAACAUAUAACUAAAUAUGUAAAAAUAAAUGAGUAUUCACAUAAAUACAAUGGUAUUAUAUAAAAAUAAUUUUAUGUUUAGGGGUAUUGUUAGUUUUAGGACUAAAUAUUUAAAUAUGGCUAUUGUUAGUGUAAGGGAGAAACAUAUAUCAAUGAUAUGUAUAUAUUUAUGAAUAUAUACUUGAAAAUAAUCUGAAAUUUAUACAAAUAUAUAAGAUUUUUGUAUAGAUAGAUUGAGUGUUAGGUGUGUCAUUUCAGUUAGGUUUAAAGGUGAAUAUAUAAAUAAACAAGAAUAUAUAAAAAUUAAUAUGUGAAAAUAUGAAUAUAUGUCAAAAUAUAUUAAAAUUCAUGUGAAUAUAUGUGUUCUCGUGUGUGUGUGUGUGUGUGUAUAUAUAUAUAUACAUACAUACAUAUAUAUACAUACAUAUAUAUGUGUAUAUAUAUAUAUACAUACAUACAUACAUAUAUACAUACAUACAUAUAUACAUACAUACCUACAUAGUUAGGGUAAGCGUUAGGUUAGGACUAAGUUUAGAGGUAGGUUUAGGUUUAGUGCUAGAGUAUGAAAAAACAUAUAAAAUAUGAAUAGAUCAAUAAAUAUACAUGUGAUUACAUAGAUGAAAAAUAUAAAUAUAUAUAGUUUCAAACCUGGAUUGGUUUACAGUUAGAUUUUUAACAUUAUUUGUUUUAAAGUUAUUGCAUGAAAAUAUAAAUGAAUAUAUACAGAUAAAUGAAUUCUUAUGUGAAUAUAUAAACAUACUAGUAAAAUAUACAUGAAUAUUUACAUAAAUAUGUGAUAUAUACAUACACACACACACAUUAAGGGAUAGGGUUAGUGUUGGGGUUAGGAUUAAAUUAAUGGAAAUAUCAGGAUUAGUGUUAGGGAAUUAACAUAUAUACAAUAUAAAUGCACAUAUAUAUGAAUACUUAUGUGAAAAUAUAUGACAAAACCUCUAAAUAUGUAUGGUUUUAUAGAUAAAUAGAUUUAGGUUUAGGUAUAUAAUUACAUAUAAUUUUAAAGAUGAGGCACAAAUGUGUCAUUAUAUAUAAAUAUACCUAUAAAUUCAUAUGUGAAUAUAUAUGUGUCAAAAUAUGAAUAUUCACAUGAAUAUGUAUAAUUUUUAUAUAAUAUACUUUUAUAGUUAUGAUUUUUGUUAGAAUUAGGACCAAAUUAAGGGGUAGGUUUAGGCUUUGGGUUAGGGUAUGAAUAUAUAUAUAUAUCUAUAAAUAUGUAUAUAAAUGGACACAUGAAGAAAUGUAAGAGAACCUAUACCAACAUGUAUGGGUUCAUCGAUGGCUAGGUUUGGGUUGAGGUGCAUUGUUAUAUUAUGGAUUGGAAGAUUGAAUCACUAUAUGAAAAUUAAUAUACAUGAUAGUAUAAACAUAUAUGAAUAUUUAUGUGAAUUUAUAAAUAUAUAUGUCAAAAUAUAUUAAUGUAUAUAUAUAUAUAUAUUUUAAAUAAAUCAUGUUUUCUUUAGGAGUAUUGUUAGGUUAGGACUAUGUUUAGGGUUAGGGUUAGGUUAGGGUAUGAACAUAUAUAUGAAUAUAUAUGAAUAUAAAAGUGAAUGUAUAUAUGUAUGUGGAUAUAUAAAUAUAAAUAAAUAAAUAUAUAACUAUAAAUACGUAUGAACAUAUAAAUGAAUACAUAAGUAAAUGUUAAAUGUGAAUUUUCAUAUAAAUAUAUAGUUAUAUAUUUAAUAAUUUUUAUGUUUAGGGUAUUGUUAAUGUUAGGGCCAUAUAUAAGUAGCAUUAGGGUUGUUGUAGGUAUAAACAUAUAUAUAAAAAAUUUGAAUAUAUCUAGAAAAUAUGAAAAUUUAUUUGAAACCAAUAAAAGUAUAUAUGGUUUCAUAUAUGUAGAUUUAAUGUUAGGUGCAUCAUUACAAUUUGAUUUAAAAAUUGGUAUGAACAUGUAAAUGAAUAUAUAUCAAUAUGUAUAUUAUAUAUGAAUAUAUAUGUCUAAAUAUAUGAAAAUUCCUAUAAAUAUAUAUGUUUACCUGUAUAUAUAUGCAUUUAUGUUUAGAGUUAUUGCUAGGGUUAGUACUAAAUUUAAUGGAAUUAUUUAGGAUUAUGGUUUGGAUAUGAACAUUAUCAAUUUAUAUGAAUGUUAUCAAUUUAUAUGAAUGUAUAUAAGAAUAUAUCUGUGAAAUAUAAAUAAAUAUAUCAAAACUAUAUGACUAUUUAUACAAGUGUAUUUUAUAUAUAUAUGUAUAUAUAUAUGUAUGUAUGUAUGUAUAUAUAUACAUAUGUAUAUAUAUAUAUAUAUAUAUAUAUAUAUAUAUAUGUAUAUAUAUAUAAAUACGUAUUUUAAACAUAAAAUUGUUUUAUGUUUAGGGCUAUUCUUAUGGCAAGAACUAAUUCUAGAGGUAGUAUUAGGGUUAGUGUUAGAAUUAAGACUAAAUUUACUCAUAGGUUUAGGGUUAGGUUAUGAACAUGUAUAUCCAAAAGUAUAAAUAUAUGUAUGAUAUGUAUGUGAAAAUAUGUCACUGUGUGCUGCAUGACUAAGGUUCAGAUAACCACACAGAGGAGAUGUGAGCCAUCUGAGAAAUUAAACUCUGAAAUAAUAAGAAAUAAAAGACAAAGAAAAAUGGUGUCACAAUGUGGGCCUGGUGUGUGGAAUGGACAUGAUGGGUUUAAUCUGUAACAAAGAGUGAGUCUCUGGGUGCUUUAUUUAUAGGGAAGCACAUCAGGGAUACUUAUUGUCAGGAAGAGUUCUUUAAGGUAAACAAAGUCAGCAGGAAUAGGCUAAUUGGGGCUUAUCUAUUUGUGGGAUAUCUUCUUCUUGCUCAGGACAGCUGGGCUGUUGAAUGUGCCCAUAUUUCUUUCAUUCCAAGGCAGCAGGCAUCUGAAUUCAAAGGUAUCAAACCCAUAAAUACUGCUCCAGGCAUGGAAUCAGCCCCAUUAACAGUGGCCACCUGCAAAUGGGCGUAUCUCUCAGCACCAUUAUACUGAGAGAAACCCAAGAGGGCAGUUUAGCUGUCCAAGGCUAUGGAGUUCAAAGCAAUGAUUCAUUGCCACUCCCUACAAAAGAACCUAUAUAAAUAUGUAUGGCCUCAUAGAUGGAUAAUUUUAGGGUUAGGAGUAUGGUUGUGAUUUGAUUCAAAGAUUGUGUAAUAUAUGCAAAAAGAAUAUAUGUGAAUAUAUAUGUGAAUAUAAAAAUAAAUAUGUCAAAAAUAUGAGUAGGAAUUGAAAUGAAUAUGGUUUUAUACAUAAAUGAUUUUUAUGUUUAGGUUUAUUAUUAGUAUUAGAACUUAGUUUAUGGCUAGUUUUAGGAUUAGGAUUUGUGUAUGAACAUUUACAUGAAAUAUGAAUCUGUCUAGGAAUAUACAUGUGAAAAUACAUAUGAAAUCCAAUGUAAAUAUAUAUGGUUUCAUACAUGUAUAAGUUUACAAUUAGGUGCUGUUAAAACUUGGUUUAAAGAUAGGUUAUGAAUAUAUAAAUCAGUGUAUAUAAAUAUGUAUAAAUUUAUAUGUGAAUAUAUAAAUAUAUGUCAAAAUAUAUAAAUAUUCAUAUAAAUAUAUGGUUUUAUAUGCUAUACAUUUAUGGUUAGCAUUUGGGAUAGGACAAAAUUUAGGGGUAGGUUUAGGCUUAUGAUUAGGGUAAAUGUAUAUAUCAAUAUACAUGAAUAUAUGUGUAUAUAUAUAUAAAUAUGCAUUUGAAAAUAAGUUGAAAAAACUUUAUAAAUAUGUGUGGUUUCAUAGAAAGCUACAUUUAACGUUAGGUGUAUUGCUACAUUUGUUUUAAAUAUUGUGUAAAUACAGGUAUAAAAUCCAUUCUUCUAUAUUUGUUUCAGUAAAUUUUUCUUAGAAACAAAAAUCUGGAUGAUCUACUACAUCUUUGAAAAGGCAAUCAGAACAGAGUUUAAUAGAAAAGUAAUAGCAAAAAUAAAUAAAUAAAUAAUGAAUAUUUCAAAAUUAUCUUUCCAUGGAAAUGUUCCCUUAGAAAAUAUUCUUUCACUAUUGAAUUAUGUGCUAUUUGAAAAUUUUGACUUAGGGAUGCAGAGUAUGGUCUGGAGGGCAGAUAUCAUUAGGAAGGUGAAUGACUAUAAUCUUUUCCUUCUCCUCCUUAAAUCGUUUGAAGGCAACAAGCAAUGCAUCAAUUUAAAAGCACAAGCCAAAACUGACCUCCUAAAUUUACUUCUUUGCACAGGAGAACUGCAUACCAAACCAAGUUACUAGCAAAAAGUUUAGAAUCCUGAGAUUAAACUUGGAAUAACUUAAAGUAAUUUUUGCAUUUUCUUUUGGCAUUAAUUCCUUUCCUUAAUUCAAACACAACAAUCCAUCCAGCACAUUAAGCUGACUUUCAUUCAAUAUACUUAUAAAAUUCUUCCAUAUAGUUUCUCACUAGCUUUUGAAAUAGAAAUCUUAUCUGUAAUUUAAUGCAUUCAAUUCUGACCCUAAUAUUGUCAUAUAUUUGUUUGUGGUACAUACCAUUAAAAAACAAGUAAAAUAUACCUAUCUAUAUAUGUAAAUAUUUUUCUCUCUUAUCAGUAAUAUCUCUCAUAUAUAAUAAUUAUUAUAAUCAUUAUUAUUAUUAUUCCAUUCCAUUCCUCACUGGAAUAAAACUUUCUCCGUGCUAACUUUUGGCAUAAAAACAUAGUUUUUAAUACUCUUGUAUUUUUAACCCAUUAUGCUAUAAAGAUUACUCAGAAUUCAUGUAAUAAAAGGACUUAGGUCUUCUGUAUUCUGUAGGCUUAAUAAUCCAUAUUCAUUCAAUUUUUCUCAAAGAGCAUUGCUCAUAUUUAAUGAUAUAUUUUGAUAUCUACUGUCAAAGAUUGGAAAAUUUCUACAUGUUUCUUAAGUUGUGGAUAUAUACAAAUUAUAUAAAAAGUUUACUUCUAUCAUCUUCUUACUUAAAAUUUACUAGUAUUAUGCUAUUUGCAAUGUUUUAAGGUUUAUUAUAUUGAAGAAAUAAUUAUAAGACACAAUAAAUGGUGCAGAUAAAACAGAAUAACUGUUUAGUGAGUUGGCAUGGGUGAAAAAGAGAUAUCUUGUUUUAAAUUUGUUCAUUACAAGGUUAAAAAAAAAGGACUAAUUAUUUAGGUUGAUGGAGCCUAUUGACUCAAUGCUCACUAGAUGAAAAGAAGCGAUUAUAUACAUAAAGAAUGCGGUUUGGAAUAUCAGAGGCUUUGUAAACAGUGGUUGGUAGAGGAGGAGGAGCAAUAUGACAGGUGAAUAAGACCCUUCCACAAUUGUCUCCAGAUAGGCACAUCAAGGUAAGCGAUCUUAACAAGAGCAAAUAAAACCAGGUGAGAGACAACAGUGGAUGCUUCCAGUAAAACAAAAAGACUCAUUAUAGAAAGGGAAAGGAAAGAUUCCUCAAGUCACCCCUCCCCAACUCAAAGCAGUACAGAAUGGAGAGAGAUGCCUGUAAAUUGGGAGAGAGUUAUGGAGUAAAGUUCAGGUCUUAUACUUGAAAUCCAGUGCCAGGCUCAUAUGGGAGAAACUUGAUACUGAGCAGAGCCCUCCACUUCUACCAGGAGGCUAAUACUGAUGAAUUUAGCAUUGUGUCUGCUUUAGUCAGCUGACAAAAAGACUGCUCUUACUAGUUCUUUUUCAAACUUGUGCUGCAGAGAAGGACCCAGAAAUCUACCUGCUUGAAAACAGAACAUGAAAACUAGUAGACAGUAAUCACUCUCAGUGCCAGGUCUAUUUUGAUGAGACUUAGAACAGGGUAGAAACCUGGAGAGAGAGAGAGAGAGAGAGAGAGAGAGAGAUAUGCUCCCCUCUCUAUGGACAAAAUAUAUACAAGGAAGGCAAACCCCAAUGACCCUCCUCCUCUAGACAUACCGUAACUGCCUUCAGUCACUACCCAGUUAAUUCCUACUAUCAGGAGAUUAAUGCACUUAUUAAGUUAACACUUUCAUAAUGCAAACAUUUCACCUCCAAAUCUUCUGCCUUGUCUCACAUUUUGGUGUCAUAUCUGAACCAUUACCAACAGAAUGCCUGGGAAAAAAUAUGUUGCUUAUAAGAAAAUCACUUCACCUCUAGGGAUACACAUUAACUGAAACUGAAUUAUAAAUAAGAUAUUCCCUUUGAAUUGAAUCCAAUAGAAAGCAGGAGUAACCAUAAUUAUAUCAAACAUAAUAGACUUUGAAUCAAAAGAAGUAAAAAAAGACAGGGGAAGAUUAUUAUAAAGGGGUCAGAUCAGGAAGAGAAAUAUAUAUUCACCAAAUAUAUAUGCACCCAAUAUUGGAGCACAAAAAAAAUAUAUAGAAAAUAUUAAUAUGCCUAAAGGGAGUUAUAAACUCCAAUACAAUAUUACUUGGGGACUUUAAAAUUGUGUUUUCAACAAUGGAGAGGUCAUUCAGAGAGAAAACAGCAAAUAAACAGUAGAGUUAAACUGCAUUGUAGAUAGAAUGUUUAUUAAAAUGAAUCUAAUAGACAUUUAUAGAAUUUUCCAUCCCACAAUUACAAACUACAGAAUACACAUUCCUUUCAUCAGAACAGGGAACCUCCUCUAGGAUAAAUCAUAUAAUAAACUACAAAAAGUCUCAAUAAUUAAAAAGAGUUGAAAUCUUAUUAUGCACCUUUUUUUCAUCACAAUGCAGCAAAAUCAGAAAUCGAAAAAUUUCAAAAACUACAUAAAUAUAUGGAAAUUAUGCAAACCUCUUUUCAACAACCAAUGAAAUAAAAAGGAAAUCAAGAAAGAUAUUUAAAAAUUUCUUCAAGCAAAUGAAAAUAGAGAUACAACAUAUAAAAUCUUAUAUGUUAUACUAAGAGGCAAGUUUAUAGAAAUCAAUGCUUAUAUUUCAAAGUAGAAAGAUCACAAAUAAAAAACCCAUUUCUGCCUCUCAAGGAACUAGAGAAACAAAACAAAUCAAACUAAAAAUUAAUAUAACAGCAGAAAUAAAUAGUGACUAAAAUACAGUACAAAGGAUGAAUGAAAGAAGUUAUCUACUUCUUUGAAAAGAAAUAGACAAUUAACUAGAUUAACGAAGAAAAAAGAUAGAAGACUCAAAUAUACUCAGAGUUGAAAAGGAGAGGUUAUGCCUGACACCACAAAAGUAUAAGGCUCAUUAAAUAAUAUCAGGCACAACCCAUAUGCCAACAAAUUUGAUAACCAAAAGAAAAGUAAUGGAAAAAUUCUUGGAGAUGUGUGCCUUACCAAGAUUAAAUAAUGAGCAGAAAAUAUGAAUAUACAAUAACAGGUAAUGAGGUUGAAUCAGUAAUAAAAAUUCUCUCAUCAAAGAAAAGCAAAUGGCCAGAUGUCUUCAAUACUGAUGUAUUUAAGUCAAUCACUUAAACAAGAACUAAAACAAAUUUUUCUUUACUUCAAAAUUAAAAGGAGGAGGAGGAUCCCAAACACACUCUACAUAACCAAAUGUUACCCUGAUAUCAAAACCACAUAAGGAUACUAGAAGAAAAGAGAACUACAGGCCAAUACCCUAGAUGCAAAAAUCCUCCUCAAAAAAUAUUAGCAAACUAGGGGCUGGAGUUGUGGCUCAGUGGAUUUUGAGACAUUGGGUUCGAUCCUCAGCACCACAUUACAAAAAUUAAUUAAUUAAUUAAGGAUAUUGUGUCCAUCUACAACUUAAAAAAAUUACUAGUGAACUAAAACAAAUGGCACAUUUAAAAGAUUAUUCAUCAUGAUAAAAUGGUAGUUAUUCCAGGGAUACUGGGAUGGUUCACCACAUGCAAAUUAAUAAACAUAAUAUAUCACAUCAAGAGAAUAAAGAACUAACCUUGAUUGGUCAUCUCAAUAGAUAUAGAAAAGACACUUGAUAAAAUUCAGCAUCCCUUCAUGAUAAAAACACUGAAUAAAUUGAGUUCAGAAGGAACAUGCCUUACUUAUAAUAUAUCCACAGCUAACAUUAUAUCGAAUGGGGGAAAACAUGAAAGCUUUCUAAGACCAGGGACAGGAAAAGAGAAGUUCAUUUUUAUCCUUCUAUUCAACAUACAUUUGGAGGUCUUAGCUAGAGAAGUCAGACAAGAGAAAGAAGCAAAGGGCAUCUGAAUUGGAUAAGAAGAAAUCAAAUUGUCACUGUUGGCAGAUGACUUAAUUCUAUAUAAAAAAAAAAAACUUUGAAGACUCCACCAAAACACAAUUAGAACUUUUAAAUGAAUUCAGCAAAUUUGUAGGAUAUAAGAUAAACAUGUAAAAAUCAGUAACAUUAAUGUAUGCCUAUAGUGAAUUAUCUGAAAAAAAUCUUUAAUUUGUAAAAAAUAUAAAAUAAAAUAAAACUUCAAAAACAUAAAAUACCGAGGAAUAAAAUCUCAAAGACACACACAAAAAAAUCUUUAGAAUAAAAACUAUGAAACACUAACAAAUAAAUUGAAGAGGACACACACACACACAAAAUGAAGACAUCUAGUGUUUAUGGAUUGGAAGAAUCUAUAUUGCUAAAAUGUCCACAGUACCCAAAGUUAUGUACAAAUUCAAAAUAUUCAUGAAAUAUGAAUGAAAUUUUUCACAGAACUAGAAAAAAACUUAAAAUUUGCAUGAUGCACACAUAUAAACCCCUCAAAUAGUCAAAAUUAACUUGAGCAAAAAGAACACAGCAGAAGAUAUUGUACUACCUUCAAAAUACAUCACAAUGCGGUAGUCAUCAAAUCAGCAUGGCAUUGGCAUAAAUAGAGGCACAUAGACCAAUGAAAGAGAAUAGAAAGACUUGAAGUAGAAAACAUGCAUUUGAAAAAGGGCAGACUUUUCAACAAAUAAUGAUGGGAAAAUUGGAAUCCAAAUGCAGGAGAAUGAAAUGAGUUCACUAGCAUACAUUGGUUACAAAUAUCAACAAAAUAGAUUAAAGACUAAAAUGUAAAACUUGAAAGUAUGAAAUGACUACAAGGAAAUGAAAGAGAAGGUUUCAAGGCAUUGAAGCAGGAAAGAAUUUUUUGAACAAGAUUCAAAAAGCACAGGAAAUAAAAGCAAUGAUAAAAAAUGGAAUUACAGCAAGCUAAAGUGCUUCUGCACAGCAAAUGAAACAAUCAUCAGAGUGACAGACAGCCUAAAUAAUUGGAGAAAAUAUUUGAAAACUAUGCAUUUGGCAAGGGUUUAAUACCCAUAAUGUAUAAGGAACUCUAAAAACACAAUAGCAAAAGAUGAAAUAAUCUAGUAAAAUUGUUGGACAUAUAUAUAUGGGUAGGUAUUUCUCAAAAGAUGAAACAAAUGGCCAACACUUAAAAAAGAAGCUAAGCAUCACUAUUCAUGAAAAAAUGCAAAUCAAAUCUACAAUGAAAUAUAAUCUCAUUAUAGUAGAAUAUCUAUUAUAAAUAUGAAAGAUUAAAAAUGCUAGUUAGGAAGUAAAGAAAAGACAACUCUUGCAUAGUACUGCUGGGAAUAUAAAUAAGUAUAAUCAUCAUGGAAAACAGUAUGGAAGAUCCUACAAAAAUUUUAAAAAAGAACUAUAAUAUGACCCAGCUUUCCAACUACUUGUUAUAUGUCCAAUGGAAAUGAAAUCAAUAUGAGAGACAGCUACACAGCUAUGUCUACUGCAGCAGUAUCCACAACCACUGAGAAAUGGAAACAACCUAUGUUCAUUAAGUGAUAAAUGAACAAAGCAAAUGUGGUAUAUAUACACCAGACAAUACUAUUCGUCUAUAAAAGCAAAUGAAUUUCUGUUAUUUGUGGCAACAGGAAUUGAACUGGAAAUCAUUAUAUUAAGUGAAAUAAGUGAGACCCAGAAAAACAAGUAUCACAUGAUCUCACUCAUAUGUAGAAUCUAAAAAACUUUAGUCUUACAGAAGUUGAGGGUAGAAUUGUGAUUGACAGAUUCUGUAGGGAGAAGGGGAGGUAGGAAUGGGGAAAUUUUAAUCUAAGGGAUCUAAAUUGAAGUUAAAUAGGAGUAUGGAUUUUUAGUGUGCUUUUGUAAAGUAUGGUCAUUAUCACUAUAGCUAAUGAUUGUAUACUUUAUAUUUCAAUGAGGUAGAAGAAAGAAUUUAAAUUUUUUUUCACCAAAAAGAAGUGAUAAAUAUUUGAAUAGUUAGAUAUGUUUAAUCUGAUUAUACAUGCACACACAUUAUCAAAAUAUCACAUCAUACCCAUUAUUAUAAUAAUGAAUAAUUUUAUGAUAUUUAUGUUAAUAAAAUAAAUUUAAAUUAGCAAUAAGAAAAUAGGUAAUUUCAUACCCCUUAAUUACCUUGGAUUUGCUUAUUUUAGAGAUGACAUUUAUAUAAGGUAUAAUUUUUUUAUAUUGAGUCCCUUUUACUUCUGGAAGCCAUCUUGUGCCAUCAAGAGGAGGUAGUCUUUGGACUAAGAUAAUUUGUGUGGGGAAAAUACCAUAAAUAAAUUAUCCUCAAGGACCUACUUAUCCAGAGAAAUAAUUAUUCAUAUAAUAAUUGACUUCAGUAUCCCGGCUAGCUCAUAGAAAGUUGAAGAAUUUUUCAGUAAUAAGCAAAAGCUGGUUACUGCAUCAAGUUAUAUUUUUCUUGAAUCUAAGAGAGCUGAGGUCAGAGAAUAAGCCAUCUUGAAAUUUAAGAAAAGAGUUAAUAACUACCUAUACUCGUUAGUAAACAAUUGUGUAGUGUUGUUUUCCUUUUUGUUUUGAUUUCUUUUUUAAUUUUUAAUGAUGCUGUUUAGACACUUACCAUGGAUCAGUUGUAUGGAUAAGGAGAAUUUUGGGACCCUGACCUGCACACACUGGUGUUACACAACUGAGCGAUACUUUACAUGGCAAAUGGGAUUUUGCAGAUGUAAUUAAGUUCACUAGUUAGUUUAUUUUUAAAAUGGAUUGAUCUGAAUUAUUCAGAUGGGACAGUGUAAUUGCAUGAGCUCUUUGCUUCACAGCUUUCUUUCAGCUAAGGGAAGAAGAAUUCACAGAGAGUUAAAACACGAUAAGGACUGAGACGCUUUGCUCUUUGAAAAUGUACAAGGUCACAUAAAAAGGUGGAUGAACAGAAUUCUGCCAACAUCUGAGUGAGGUUGGAAGAAUUUUGUGGAGUCCUAUAGGCAAUGCUGUCCUACUGACACCUUGAUUUCAGCCUUGUGAGACUCUGAUCAGAGAAAUCAUUUGAGAGGCACUGUGAAUGGAAUUUUGCACUAUGAAAAGUUAUGAGAUAAUAAAUGAGUAUUGGUUAAAGACAUCUGAUCUGAGGUAAUUUGUUAUAGUAGCCAUAGAAAACCAAUAAUCAAGACAAAAAUAUUUUCACACAAGAACUUCUACAGAAAUGUUUAUGUCAGCUUUAGUUAAAGCUACUCAAACUAUGAGUUGUCUACAUAUACUUCAACUGACAAAUGAAUAAAAAAGCAAUGUCUCUCUUAAAUAACAGUAACACAAUGUGAUACCUAUCUUCAAUAUUACAAAUAUCUUUAAUCUGAAAAUAUUUGGUUCUGUGUUGUAGAUACAAUGGUAUAUAAUAAAAAACAGUAUAAUUAAAAUACAAGAUUAUCUAAUAUUAUCUCAUCCUCAUAUAAAAAUGUAUGUUUGGAUUUUGUUUCUACUUCCAAAAUUCAUACAUUUUAUAGCUGAUAUAUUAUAUUUUUUCUAGAUCACUGAUUUGAUUAUAAGAUGAUUUGUUCUAGUAUUUCUCAGAACUUGUGCUGAAUAAUCUAUGAUUAACAGUGGUAUUCUUUAUCACUUUUUAAAACUUUAGAAGAACUAGAUUAUGUUUAUAGCAUCACAAAUAAUUUUUCUUAUUUAAUAUUUUCAAAACCUUUUACAAUUUCUCAAAACAAUGACUCUCUUAAAAAUAUUUCACAAAGUCCAACAUCCUUUAUUGAUAAGAACUUCCUGAUAAAUUAGACAUAGAGGGAAACCUCAAUAUAAUAAAGAAUAUUGCUAUAGACUGAGUUUUUAUGUUGAAAUCUCAACCCCCAAUAUGAUUACUCCUACAAACACUAUUCUACACUUGUGAUAAUGACAUGAACUCAGUCAUGAAUGCAGAGCUCUUAUAACCUAAUCGUCUCAAGUUCUAUCUCUGAACAGUUUUGCAUAGGGGAUUAAGUUUCCAAUAAAAGAACUUUGGUGAUAUAUUCAAACUGUACUAAACCACAAAUACUAAAAAUUACUUGGAAAAAGAACAAAGUUGGAAGACUCAGAGUUUUUUUUUUUUUAUUUAAGACUUACUUCUAAAUUACAUAAAUCAAGCAAUGAUGGAUGGACAUAUAGACCAGUGGAACAGAAUUGAGAGUUUAGAAACAAGCCUAUAUUUCUAUGGUACAUUUAUAUUCAACAAUGGUUCCAAGGGAAUAGUCUCUUCAACUAAUGUGUUGCAUAACAGGAUUUCCAAAUGCAAAAGAAAGAAGGAGGGCCUCUACCUUAGAGCAUAGAAAAAAAUUACCCCCAAAUGGACCAAAAUUAUAAAUAUAAGAGGGAAAAUUGGAAAACCUUUCAAACAAAAAAUGGGAAUAAAAUUUUAUAACUUUGGAUUUGGCAAUGUUUAUUAUGUAAGGUACUGAAAGCAUGAGUUAAAAAAAAACUAGAAAAUUAGAUUUCAACAAAAUUUUUAAGAAAACUUUUAUUCAUCAAAAUACAUUUUUAAGUACACAAAAUGAAAACCUUCAGAAUGGAAGAAAAUAUUUUCAAGUCACAUAUCUGAUAAGAGUUUAGUAUGUCUGAUUAUGUAGAGAACCUUGAAAUACAACAAAAAAAACUACCCAUUUAAAAAUGAGUAAAGGAACAGUCAAGAAUGUGAAGAGAAAGCCUACAAAAUGGGAGAAAAUCUUUGCCACCUGCACCUCAGAUAGAGCAUUAAUUCCCAGGAUAUAUAAAGAACUUAAAAAAAAAAAAAAAAAAAAACUUAACACCAGAAAAACAAAGAACCCAGUCAAUAAAUGGGCAAAGGAAUGGAACAGACAGGAAGAAGAAAUAUAAUUGGUCAACAAAUAUAUGAAAGAAUUAGAGAAAUGCAAAUUAAAACCACACUAAGAUUUCAUCUCACUCCAGUAGAAUGGCAAUUAUCAAGAUUACAAAUAACAAUAAAUGUAAGUGAGGACGCAGGGUAAAAGGUACAUUGCUUAUGGAGCUGCAAAUAUGUGCAACCACUCUGAAAAACAGUAUGGAGAUUCCUCAGAAAGUUUGGAAUGGAACCACCAUUAGACUCAAUUAUCCCACUCUUUGGUUUAUACCCGAAGGACUUAAAAUCAACAUAUUAUGGUGAUGUAGCCACAUCAAAGUUUAUAGCAGCUCAAUUCACAAUAUCUAAACUAUGAAACCAACCUAAGUGCCCUUCAGCAAAUGAAUGGAUAAAUAAAAUGUGGUGUAUAUACAGAAGGGAAUAUUGCUCAGCCAUAAAAAUGAAUAAAAUUAUGGCAUUUGUUGGUAAAUGGAUGGAACUGGAGAAUAUCAUGUUAAGUGAAAUAAGCCAAUUCCCCCAACCCCGCCCCGAUAAAAAGGCCAAAUGUUUUCUCUGCUAUGUGGAAACUAACUUACAAUAAGAUGUCAGGGGCAGGUAAGGAAGAACAGAAUUAUUCUGAAUUAGACAAAGGGGAAAGAAAGGAAGGGAGGGGGAAUGGAAACAGGAAAGAUAGUAGAAUUAAAUAUUACUCUCCUGUGUGCAUAUGUGAUUACAUAACCAAUGUAAUUCUAGGUCAUGUACAAUCAGAAAAAUGAGAAGUUAUACUCCAUAUGUAUAAUAUGUCAAAAUACAUUCUGCUAUCCUGUAUAAAUAAUAAGGACAAAUAAGAAAAUUUAAAAAAUAAGACUGGUACACUCCUUAAGUGUAUUUUAUUAGUUAUAUAGUCUUUCCUUAGGUUUGUCAACCAAAUAUACACAUUAGUUGGGUGUUUAUAAAAAGACAUUAAUAUCAGUGAUGAUAUUGACAAUGGUAAACAACAAAUGAUACAUUCAAAUAUAUAAAUUCUGCAUGCCUGUAAAGCAGUAGCUGAGUCCUACCUUCUUAUGUUAUCUUGUGGAAAGCCCACAGAUUGCUUUCUUCUUUGUGGGUGGAGAGUAACAAGAGAAGGAAGUUUCAGGUAACAAGUUUAAUCAAUUGUUUAGCAUAGCUAGCAAAAAACUAUGUAUGAAAUUUUGAUUCUUUCUUUUGCUAAUAGCUAAUCACUGAAUACAUAGAGUACAGUAUAACUGCAUAAUGUUUUCUUCUUACAUACAUGGUUCUUAUAACAUCGGUUUCUUUCUUUAAAUUGUUUGUAUUUUUUUCCACUUGAAUAAAAUAGUAAUCUUUGGAAUCUUUUUUAGUGACUUAAUCUGUUUUUCUUCUUCUACUAUUUGCUUCUUUGUAGUGAUUGAUCAUUAAUCAACUUUUUCCUCAGUGGUAAGAUUAUAAUCAGGAAGAUGACACUGGGCAUUGCAGCAAGUUCAAAGCCAGCCUCAACAAAAGCAAGGCACUAAGCAACUCAGUGAGACCCUGUCUCUAAAUAAAAUACAAAAUAGCGCUGGGGAUGUGGCUCAGUGGUCAUGUGCCCCUGAGAUUAAUCCCUGGUACCCCCCUCCCUCCAAAAAGGAAAAUGAUCAACUCUAUUUAUUUUUCUGUUUAUAUAAAAUUAUUAAUGUCAUAACAUACUAUGAGGAUCUUAAAUAUUAUUUCAUGCUGAUAUAUAAUAUUUAUAUAUAUUGAAUGAAUACCUGAAACAAUUUAAGAAUCUAGGCAGAAUCUGCUUCUAACACCAAGUUUCUCUGGUAAACUGACUAAAUAAAAAAAAUAUCUACUUUCUCUAUAUGGUUUAAAGGUGUCAAUUACAGCUUUUACCACAUUUUCAUUUCCUACUAAUUUCCCCUAUUAAAUCUAAUAUUUUCUAUUGAAUUUCCUUUGAUUAUUCAUCAUAGAUGCCUAUUUAUUUUCAUGACAUACAAAGUGGUAACAUCACACUUCUUUUUAAUGUUUGUAUCUUCUAAUUUAUUCAGGUUUAAACCUUAUAUUUUAUAAAGACAAUUGCAUGAGACUCUGGUUAUUAUUUAGUCAUCCUGAAAAUUAAAAAAAGCUAUUUAAGGUUUCUGUUACCGUGUAUUUGGAAAGUCAAUCUCGAAUUAUUUUGCAAGGAGACUUGGAUAUAGAAGACAUUUCAUGCCAAGGAAAAGAGGAAGAAGCUUUGAGUAUACUCCCUGGUACUUGAAUUUCUAGGAAAAUUAUUUCUGUUUCAGUUCUGGGAUUUCAGAUGUCUGCUUUGAGUAGUCAUCAGUAGACUUUAGAUAUACCUGUCAUAGACUAAAUGCGAUUCACAAUGCCCUACUCCUUCCCUACCAGCAACUCCUCUGAUUCUCUCCUGACCUACUGCUUUCAGCAUGUCAGUUUCUCUUGGAGAUUGUUAUAUUGGAUUUCAUUUCUACUUCAUAACAAGUAUAUUGAAGGAAUUGUUGCGAUUUCCUUGAGUAUAGUUAACUUAAACACAUGUUUAACUUGUGUACAACAGCCAUGUUUUAAUUCUACAGAAUGAAUAUUGUUUGAUAAACUAAGAAAACAUUAAGGGAAUCACUUCAAAGGCUGUCUAAUCCUGCACUUAUGCCCUAUAUGGAAAUUAAACUGUUAUUAGCACUUUUUAAAUGUCAGAGUAUAUUUAUAUUUCUGUUGUUGUGAUUUCAAGUGAUAUUGUGUUCAAGAAAAAAUAUCACAUUAAUAUUCCAAGGGUUGUAAUAUUUCUUUGCACUGAAUCAUCAUACCCUACCUAGGCUAGUGAUAAUGAUAGUGUAGGCAUUGCUACUUAUUUUUAUUUUAAUUUUGAUCACAACAUUCAUAAUCAUAUUUAGAAAUGAAAAAUUUUUAGAAAAUACCAAUAGUUUUUCCUUUAUUUUUGAAAAAAAUACACAUAACUCAUAAUGAAAGUUAUUAGUAGAGGGCUGGUGAUGUAGUUCAAUGAUAGAGCAUUUGCCACACAUGUGUAUCUCUUGGUUUCAUCUCUGGCACUGGGAAAAGGAAUUGUAAAUAGAAAUUCACCAUGGAUCUGUGAAUCUAGAGAUAAUUAUUUAAAAAUUUAUACAUAUAUAAAAUAUAUGUACAUAGAAUAAAACGUAAUUUUAACCAUAUAUUACUGAAAUGGAUGUAAGGUGAAAUAUACUCAAUUUAGAUUCAGAGAGUGAAUACAACUAUGCAAAUAAAUCCAAAUAAAUAAACUCUUGAUAAUGAGGAAAUGCAUUAUUUCAGAGUGUUUGAAAGAAUGGGAGAGUCAACAAUACAAAAUAUAUCCUCUUUUUCUAUUAUUAAAGAUUAUAUUUACUUAUUAUUGUCACCAAAAUUUCUCCAAGCAUUUGACAGGAAAUGAUUAAUUGCUAAAUUUCUCUUAUGUUGUAUUGAUCAAUUUUAUCAGUUUUAGGGAAAAACUAAACAUUCUGGUAUAGUCUAAGACCAAAAAUCAAAGAAGACAUUUUUGACAGGAUCUUGGAUAGAGGUCACUGGGUCUUAUUCUUGCAAGAGUAAUCAGGGUUUUAAAAUGUAUUUGUGAAAAGACUGCUGAAGUUUCCAAUUAAAAAUAGCCACAACAACAAAAUGUAGCUGGCAUGAGAUGUUCUCUCUCAUCCCCAUUUCUGGUCUCUCUAUUAUAUUUUAUUUGCUUGGUUUGGUUGUUUUAGUGCUUCAGAUGGACUAGUCAGUAUGGAAGUUGGAAGCACAGGAAAUAAGUAAAAAAAAUACUUUCAAAAAUAAUAAGAAUUAAAAGGAAGGUUGAUUUAGUGGGUGAGAAUAAAAUUUACCAACUUGUGUAUUGUUUAAUUUACUUAACUGGUUAAUUACUUUGUCAGGAUAGCAUGACCAGAGGCAAGAUUGUCUGAGUUUGAAUUCUUGCUCCUAGCUUUGUCAAUUUUCACAAAUCACUUAGUUUCUGAAAAACUUAAGAUGAUAGUUCUUAUUUGGAACUAUAAGAGUUAUUUUUAUAAUAUAUUUUAAUUACUCAGAAAUAUAUUACUAUGCUGAGUAUAAUAUACAUCCAGUAAACAUCAUACUAUUAUUAUUAUGUAAAGUUUACUGGGAAAAUUCAUGGGCUAGGAUGAACAGUAACAUGCCUUAUUACCCAUUUAAUAUGGAACUUUCAAAUAACCACAGUAAAUAAUACACAGAAGAAGAAAUUGGUGGUUUCUUAUUAAGAAGUAUAAUUAUAUACCUGCAUUUUUCUCUAAUAUCAGGAUUAAGUCAAGGAUAAUAAGACUCUCACCACAUCUACUCAAUACAGUUCUUGAAACUCUAGCCAGAGCAAUCUGGCAAGAGAAGAAAAUUAAAGGAACACAAAAAAGAAGUCAAAACAUCUUGGUUUGCUGAAGACAUGAUCCUAUAACUAGAUGAACCCCCCCCCCCCCCCCCCAAAAAAAAAACUCCACCAGAAGACUUCUAGUGCUGAUAAAUACAUUUACUAAAGUAGCAGGAUAGAAGGUCAACAUACACAGAUGAAUAACUUUUCCUAUACUCCAAUAAUGAAUCUGCUACAAAAGAAAUUAGAAAAAUUCACAAUAGCCUCAAAAAAUAUUUGGGAAUCAAUCUAAUGAAGGAAAUGGAAGACCACUAUAAUGAAGACUAUAGAACCCUGAAAAAAGAAAUUGAAGAUGUUUAUAGUAUUAAAAGACAACCCAUGUUCUUGGAUCAGUAGAAUUAAUAUUGUCAAAAUAGCCAUAUUGCCAAAAGUGUUAUUCAGAUUCAGCGCAACCCUCAUUAAAAUACAAAUGACAUUUUUCACAGAACCAGAAAAAAAGAGUUCUAAAGUUUUUUAGGAAGAAUAGGAGACUCAGAAUAGUCAAAGUAUUCUUGAGCAAAAAGAGCUAUGCUGUAGGUAUCACAAUACUGGAAUUCAAACCUUACUGCAAAGCUACAGUAAUAAAAACAGCAGGUUAAUGGUACCAAAACAGACAUGAGGACCAGUGGAAGACAACAGAAGAUCAAGAGACAAACCCACACAGAUAAAGUCAUCUGAUACUUGACAAAGUUGCCAAACAUGCUGGAGAAAGAAUAACCUUUUAAUUAACUGACUUUGGUAAACUGGAUAUCCAUAUGUAGAAGAAUGAAACUAGACCCUUAUCUAUCACCCUGCACAAAAGUCAAAUCAAAGUUAAUCAAAUGGUGAGGACUUAGAGCAGAAUCUUCAACUUCUGGAAGAAAACAGGGUUAUCACUCCACUCAUUAUACUGGUUCAGGCAUUAACUUCAUCAAUAAGACCCCUAAAUCUCACAAAAUAAAACCAAAAAUCAGUAAGUGAAUGAAAUCAAAUUAAAAAGCUUCUGUACCUUUUCACAAGAUGAUACUGAAAACUAAGAAGGAAGUUCUUUCUUCUCCCAAAGCUGCAACAAAGAAAAAGCUUUGAAGGCCAAAAGGCAGUGUUAAAGGACAUCCACAGACAUAGAAAGAAGAUCCGAACAUCACUUAACUUCCAUUGGUCCAAGAUAUUGCUGUGCCAGAGGCAGCCCGGUAUCCUCAGAAGAGCAUCCCUAGGAGAAACAAGCUUGACCAGUAUGCCAUAAUCAAGUUCCCUGACCAUUGAAUCAGCCAGGAAGAAUAUUGAAGACAACACACUUGUGUUCAUUGUAGAUGUCAAGGCCACAAACAUCAGAUCAAACAAACUAUAAAUAAGCUCUAUGACAUUAAUGUGGCAAAGGUUAACACCCUGAUCAGGCCUGAUGGAGAGAAGGCAUAUGUUCUACUGGCUCCUGAUUGUGAUGCUUUUGAUGUUGCCAACAAAAUUGGGAUUAUCUCAGAGUCCAGCUGUCUAAUUCUAAAUAUAACUUUUUUUUUCAAUUAAAAAAAAAGCUUCUGCAUAGAAAAUGAAACAAGAGCAGAAAAUCUUUGCAAAGUUUUCUGACAGUGUGUAAAUAUACAGAAUACAUAAAUAACUCAACAAUCUUAACACCAAAAAAUAAAUAAUCCAAUAAAAAAAUAUGCAAAAUAAACAUUUAAAUAAUUGAAAAUUAAAACUAUCACAAAGAUAACUAAACUAGACAUUUCUCAAAAGAAGACACACAAAUGCUCAACAAAUAUGUAAAAAAAUGUUCAACAUCUCAGGCAAUCAGCAAAAUGCAUAUCAUCUCCCUCUGGUCAAAAUGCCAGUUAUUAAGAAUACAAUUAAUAACAAGUGUUUACAAGAUGUGAGGAAAAGGUACACUGAUAUAUUGUUGGCCACACUGCACAUUAGUACAACCACUCUGGAAAUCAGGGUGGAAAUUCCUUAAUAAACUAGAAAUGGAACUAUAUGACCCAACUAUCCCACAGAAGUAAAAUUCCAAAAUACUAAAAUCAGGAUAAUAUAUAGAUACAGCCACGUCAAUGUUUAUAGCAGCACAGUUGAUAAUAGCUAAAUUUUAGAACCAGCAUAGUUGCCUGUCAAUAGAUUAAUGGAUUAAGAAAAUAUGGUACAUAUACACAACAGAGUUUUACUCAACCAUAAAGAAGGAAAUUAUGGCAUUUGCUGUUAAAUGGAUGAAACUGGAGAACAUCAUGUUAACUUGAAUAAGACAGACCCAUAAAAAUCAAGAGUUAGAUGAUUUCUCUCAUAUGUGGAAGCUAGAACAAAAUAAGGGGUAGGGGUAAACAUCAUAAAGCUAUAGGGAAGGUCAGUGGGAUAGAAGGAGAUAUCAAGAGGGAGAGUGGAGAGACAGGAAAGGGGAGGAAGAGGAAUGGUGAAAUGACUUUAAUAAAAUAUGCAUAUAUAAAUAAGCCACAUGGAAUUCCACAUCUAUGUAUAUGUAGAGAACACCAAUCAAAAAUAAAUAAAUAAAUAGAUGAGUGAAAGAAAGAACAGUAGAGUGGAAGAAAAAUAAUAGGGAGAGGAAGGAAAUACAGGAUAGGGAGGGACAUUGGAAAUGAAAUGAAGUAAAUCAAAUUCCAUGCGUACAUAAUUUUGUCAAAAUGAACCCAACUUUUAUGGAGCUUCUCCAAAGAGGAACUCUAAUGCUUAAUUCCCAGCACCUGCAACAGAAUCUUAGCACAGAAUACUCAAUAAAUAACUUUGUUAAAUGAAUCUGCAUGAUGUGGUACAUGACCCUCCAUGGACUUGAAAGCAUUUUGUAAAUAUUAGGGAAUAAGUGAUCUCCCAUUGUCACCUUUAAUGGUGUUUUAUACCCAUUCUUGAAAACAAUAAGAAAAGAAGCAGAGAUAGUUUAGAAGGAGCAAUUUCAUCAAAAAGUGGAAGGAAAAAAGGGAAAUUCUCUGUAAGGAACAACAGAAUACAGGUUAAGUUACUACAAAAUAACUAAGAGGUUUCCUAACAGCACAAACAGAUCAUAGAAAGUUGACCAAAAUAAUUCCUGGUUCAAAAGAAAUGUGCUCAUUAACAGAAAAGUUUCAUAAAUAUCCAAACUUUUAUAAAGAUGAGGAAAACAAACUUAAAAGACUUAAUGUUGGCAUGAUUAAAGCUGUAUUAAUUCAAGUACAGCAUUAUGGUAUGCAUGUAUCCAGCAGCUGAUUUACAUCUGGAUAUCUAUAUUUAGCACAAAAUUGGCUCAAAUGAACAUAAUGAUUAUCCCACUAUGUACCAGGAACUAUGGUUCACACACACACACACACACACACACACACACAUCUGGGGAGAUAUGUGUAUAUGUGUGUGUGUGUGUGUUUAUGACCAGUAUCAGUUUCUCUACUCUUGAGAAAUUAAAAAUUUAGCAGAAAAGAGAGAUGCAUAAUUGAAAUAAACUGAAAAAAAUGCUGUUUAAUGAGUGCUGUACUAUCAGUUUAAAGAUUCUGAAGGUCAAUAGUGCUUUGAAAUAAUAGAAUAGCUAAUUGGACUAGAUCCAGAAUUUCUUGAACUAGACACUCACAUUUUGUAUUCAGAAAGAAAUAUCACUGAAAAAUAAUCACCUGAUGAAAGUUAGACAAUAUGUCUUAGUUAAUGUUUCAGCCUUCAUCCAUAUAAUGAUCAACACUCUUGGCAAAGUGUUCCUAAUGGAAGCAUGCUUUUCAGUGAAUAGAUACAUGAAGAAGGCAGGAAACAAAGGGUCAUUUUGUGAAGGACUGGUGUCCUUCUAAUGUAGAAUGAAAUGGACCUUGUCUUUGGAAAAAUGGAUAUGUAAUAAUCAUCCUAUAACUCUUUGAAAAGUAGUGCUAUUAACAUCCAAUAUCUCUUCAAAUUGAAUGACAUGGGUACAAAGUUGGGAAAUCAACUUUGCUCACAAGAAAUUACCUGAAAUUCUUGACCUUAGGGACAUAAAUUAUCUUCCUCAGUUUAUUCCUGGAGACAGGGCAUCAUAAAAGAAAUCUCACAGGGCCAAUCACAGAAGUAAUAAACAAAAGCCCAAAUUUUAUGGGAUCUCUGCUUUUAAUUUGUCUUCAACAAAGGUGAUUAAUUUGAAAUAUUAUCAAAUGCAUCUUAAUAUCUAGAAGUUUGCAAUACUUUUCUUAAACCUGUAAUCGUUACUAUUGAAACAAUUAUUGUUAGAACCUCCUUUAAGCUCAAUUAAUAGACAUUUUUUUAGAGAAGUUUUAAGUUCACAGCAAAUAUAAUAGAGGGAACACAGAUAUACCAUAUAGUCCUCAUUCCCUUUCAUGAAUACUCUCACCCACUUCCAAUAUCUCCAAAAGAGAGAUAGGUUUAUUGCAAUUGAUGAAAUUACUGACAUGUCAAUAUCACUUAGAUUUCACAGUUUAUGUUAGGAUGCUACAUUUUCAAUGAGUUUAGACAAGCAUAUAAUGAUCUGGAUCCACCAUUACAUUAUCAUACAGAGUAGUUCACCGCCUUAAUAAUUAUUCAUGUUUCAUUUUUUUUCUUCCCUUCCUUUCCUCAUUUCCUAGCCAUUGCUGAUUUUUUUGUUUUCAUAAUUUUGCCUUUUCUAGGAUGUCAUAUAGUUAGAAUCAUCUAGUCUGUAGCUUUUCUGUAAAAUUCUCUGAAGUUUCCUCUAUUUGUUUUCAUGACUUGGUAGCUCAUUUCUUUUUAGCACUGGAUAAUAUUCUAUUAUCUAGAUGUACACAGAUAAUUUAUCGACCCAUAUACAGAAAGGUAUUUUGAUUGCUUCCAAAAUUUGGCAAUUAUGAAUAAGGCUACUAUAAACGUCUAUGUGCAGGUUUUUGUAUGAGAUUUUGUAUGCAGUUUUAAAUUCAUUUAGUAAAUAAAUGCUUGCUAUGCUAAGAGUAUGUUUAGUUUUAUAAGAAACUAACAGUCCUCCAAAAUACAUUUUGCAUUCUCACCAGCAAUGAGUAAGAGAUCCUACUGCCCUACCUCCUGUCAGCAUUUUGUGUUGCCAGUGCUAUGGAUUUAGCCAUCCUAAUGGAUAUGUGGUGGCAACUAAUUAUUGUUUGCACCCUGAAGGCUUUUAGUCUCUAUUUCAUGUCAUUUUAACUAGCUUAAUAAAUGAAAAAAGUAUUUUUUUACCUUUCUGUCAAGUAAUGAAUUAUCGCCAUAAAUCAUUUAUAACUGGAUUAUAUGAGUAAAAUACAAAAAAAUUGUUAUUUUGAAGAAGAAAAGAAGAAUGUUUAGGGGCAUAGCUCAGUGGUACAGUACUCGCCUAGCAUACAUGAGGCCCUGGGUUUGAUCCCCAGCACCAAAAAAGAAGAGGCAGGAGAAGACAAAAAUAAGGUACAGCUGGAGAUCUAAACUUCUAUUCACAGAGCAAAGGCAUGCUUGAACCUCUCUCCUUGCUGUCAGUCUGUAGUUUAGUGCACCAGAACAAGAGGGCCUCUGCACUCUCCUUCCUUUUUCCAGUUGCUGAAACUCACCUAUACAGACUCCUUGAAAGCCUGUAGGACAGUGUUAGAUGCCUGUUAGAUUUGAGUUCAUUCUUAAAGAGUGAUCAUGUAUUUUGUGGUUGGAUAACAGGAUUAUAUUUGGUGUCUCCAUUUCCUGUAAUAGGUGGAACUCAUCAUUGUAAUUUUUUUUUUCUUUUUAAUUCCCUAUGCCUGAGAUUUUGUCUGUUUUUCUUAUGAGUUGUUGUUGUUCCAUUUCAUUAAGAAUCAGAAAUUUUCUCUUUUGAAGGCAUCAUAAUGAAUAUACGAAGUCCACAGGUACUAAAAUACUUCUACUUACCUUUUUUGUAGCAUAUUGUCAUUCAUCAUUUGAAUGUUUCCAAACAUGUGAACAUUUCAGAUUGCUUAGUGAGAAUUUGAAUAGAUAAUCUUUAAUUAGCACCUCUGUACUUGGAAUCAACCUAGAGAAAUUAACUUACAUCUGUUUGCAGUAGUGGUGGGACUAGAAAGUUGAAAAUAAGCUAGAUUUCUGGUAAAUUUACUUCUCUAAAGGGAUAAUUUCUUUAAAAUAAGAAAAAAAAUGUAUUUUAGAAUGAUACCAAUCAUAUUUUAAACAUAAGAAACUAUGAUUGAAAUAUUUAAAAAAGUAUCACGUUUGUACUUCCCAAAUAGUUCUCCAUAGUGCAUGUGAGGGAAUAUUGCUCCUUAGAAAUCCUUGUGGUAAAAAAGGUAAAUAAAGUUAUAUUUAUAUGUACCCUGAGAAAAGGCUUUGUUUUACAAGUACUCUGAAUCUGCAUACACAAUAUAUUUUUUUGCACAUUAUGUUCAUUCAAAUUUAUAUAUUUGUUAUUUCUAAUUUAAAAAUAAAAAAUUCUCAUGACUGAUUCAAGUUAAAUAAUUAUUAUUGAAAAAAUGUUAAAUGUAACCAUACAAGCAUACAUAUAUAAUGUAAAUAGAAAAACCUAUGAAUUACUACUGAAAGUAAUAUUUUUGUCUUAUGUCUGAUAUUUUUAACUUAGUUACAUAUAGGAAACUAUAACACAAUAAAUAAUUUCUAAAUAAAUUCCAUUACUCACAAACCACUACUUGGUAUUGGUCACACAUCCUAGCUAAUUCAAGGUAUUAAACUAAAAAGUUUUAGAUUUUAACUACUGUUACUGGUAUAUUUUUAGGCUUCUAGAAACAUGGUACUGUAGGAAAUGCUUGGUGUUUGAAACCAACUCUAUGUCUCACUGGUAUCAUGAGUUAGCGUGAAUCAUCUAACAUUUUCUCCACCUGGCUUGGCUUAUCAGGGAGCACUGAAAUUUGGAAUUACAUAGAUGUAUAUUCAAACAAAGACUCUGUCAUUAAUACCUGGGUAAUAAUCUCUGUCUGCCUCACAUUUCUUAUUUGUAAUAGAUGUUAAUAAUAAUUAACUUACAGAGGCAUUUCAGAUAUUUAUAUUAUCAUAGUUGGCUCAUAACACAAAUAUAAUAAAAUUUUUAAAUUUUUGCCUCAAAUAUAACUUUAAAAAUUACCAAGUUUAUCUUAAUGACCAUUAUAUCCCUUUUAACUCUCAAGUUUCAUGAUUUUAUCACUUAUCAGUCAAUAAUUACCUUGAAUACCGAACAACUUUAUUAGGUGAGAGAGUAUGCUUGAGUCAGUGCCAGAUGUUCCUGAAAAGGAAAAAAAAAAUAAUUAAAUUCAGUGUUCAUGCUGACUGCCCUAUUGGUAUUUUCAGUAAUGUAUCCAUCUUUCUAUACACAUAAACUUACAAAUAGAUGAUAGAUACAUAGAAACCUAUAUAUAAAUACAAAAAAAAUAUACAUGCACACAUACAAAUAUGCAUAUACACAUUUGUAAAUACAUCCAUGCCGCAGUCUGGCUGGGCACACAAUCACGAGCCACCACACAGCUUGUAGAUUCAAACAGNCUUGGUCCUUGAGCAAGGUCACUUACAUUCAAUGUUACUGCAACAUGUCAGCAACAUGGGGUACGCUGGCAAGGAAAUUGUCAUACCUACUUGGCUAAUGGCUCCCAGCACAUCCAUACCACUCACAUAUAUAAUUGAAGCAUGAGCUAUGAUCAUAAUUUCAGGUCAAUUUUACAUAAAAAAUAUAUCAACAAUGUAUGUGUGAACAAAUUGUUCUAUUACUGAUUAUCUAAAAUAGUAUGUGAAAAUUUCUACCAUGUUUGAAAAGCAAGGUUGUGAAGUGAAUAUUCUCUAAUGAGAACAUCACCAUGUGCAGAACAUCAAGUAGUACAGGAUGCAGCCUGUGAUUUCUUAGCCUAGAGAAGAACAUGGGUGUGGCAACUCUCUGCCUGGCUAUGUAGUUUACAUUGCAUAAUUUUCCAGUGCUUUGUUAAUGAAACAAAUUCACAUUCAUCCUUUCUUAUUAUAGUUUAUCAUUUAAUUCUUUAUAGUCCUGUAGAAAAAUCAAUGUCAAUGUUACUUCAAAUUAACAAAUGAACAAACCAGUUGAAGGAUGUUCAGCAGUGUGAGAUCACAAUGCAAAGGCAAGACAGAGAGCUCUCUGAUCUUCUACCAACUUUAACAUUUUUUAACUACCAUUUACUGAAUGUGUUGACCAAAUCACACAUUCUUCCCUUAAAUAGCUUUGUGUGAACUGUCCAUCAGCACGAUUUUGAUCACACACCAGAGAGAGGUGAAUAAUGAUCAAGAAGAAGCAGGUAUAGAUAGCACUUCUUCAUCCUUUGAAAUUUCAGUGAAAACUACUGGGUCAUUUGCUCUUUCUGGAAUACUUGAUAGUUCUCAAUUUUUGACAGCAUUUUAAUUUCCUCUUGGUGAUUAUUCAUGAUGUAAGGAAUUGUUCAUUAUUUUCUAUAGUAUUGUUAAAUUUGAACAUUUUACAAUCAAUAAAUUAAUGGUUUUAGAAGUUAUUUUUGGUUGGAAAACCUUAGGGACUCCUUAUUAGAAAAUGCUUAUCCACUCUUACCAAAGAUUCAACAUUAAUUUCCCUUUUGUUUCUUCAAGGAUAGGCAAAAGUUUUCAGGAUCUGAGUUUCACACUAAUUGUGGAAAAUCUGGUUUGAACUUGAUCUAUGGCCAGUGUCUGGAGAUUAGGAUCAUUACAUAAAAAGAAACACUGGAAAUGGAGUGCUGCUGGAUAAAGAUCAAACCUGAGCUCUUAUCAACAUGAACAUGUCAAUCUGAAUACUUACCCGAAAGAAGAAGUGAACAAUGUGUGAAAACAAAUGAAACUACUCAUUGUUGCUAUUGUUUAUUAAAAAAUCUUAAUUUUGUCUAUUUUUGUGAGGGAGUUUUUAUCAAAUUAAGUUAAUAAAAACAGAAUUUCACAACAUAAAUUAUAUCAGAUAUUUAAAAACUGUUUUUCAAAUUAUUUCUCAAAAAUAAUAAUUGCAAGCCUCAGGUAAGUAUUGCUUUUGUUUAGAUAGCAUACAUAAAUAUUUUGUUAUGAACUUUAUAUUUUAUAAAAUUUUUCUCAAACAUAUAUAGUAGUAUUCUACCUUAAUAAUGCACAAAUGAAAGAAUUAAGGAAUUUAUAGUUCCAAAUUAAUAUUUUUUACUCAAGUGAAAGAUUAGUAAAUUUAAAAAUAAGAGAAAUAGAGACAAAUGUACUGUGAUAUAAAAUUUAAAAGAUGGUAACAUGAAGUGUAGUCUAAGAACAUGGUUUUAUACAGCUAAUUACAUUCUUGGUUGAUAGAAUAUAAAAUGAAAAUUUGAAAUGAAAACUUUUAUGCAUAUACUUUUUGCAAUUUAUAUAACUUUAAAAUACAGGGAAGGGCAUAGUAUUUUAAAUAAAUUGCAACUAACCAUUUAUAAAAAAAUAAAAUUUUCUGUGUUCAGUUUAAGUAACAUAUUCAUUUAAUCCAAAAAAUGUAAUUUAUUUAGUAGCAAAAAUAUUUAUUAUGAAAUGUUACAAUGAAUACAAGUUCCUAUUUUUACUUAUCACAUUAAUAAUACUUCCUUUUUACUCUCAACAUGUUUCUUAAUUUUAUCUCAUAUUCAGUUUUUCUAUAGAAUGUAUUCUUGUUUUGUUUAUAAUCUUAUAUAUCUUUGUAAUAAUUUCUCAAAUUUUAUGAUAAAAAUUACAAGAACAGCCAUUUAUUGUGCUCUUAUCCUAGGCAGAAUUACAGUAGAU